ACGAUUCAAUUCAACAUUUUGUUCAUUCGGGUUUGAUUGUGUCAUAGUUCUAUAGUUGGAAUUUGGUUUAUCGUUGGAUGAACUGCAUUGCUGAUAUUGAUCCCAAGAAAAAAACCGUGGGUACAGCUAAUCCGUGAACAGCCAGCCAUCGCACUGUAAAAAUAGGAUAGGUUCGAUCUAUGGUCAUUGGGGGCCUCCUAAAAGGAUCUACUAAAUUCAUCUAGUUGUUCUAAAGAAUCAAAACGGUCGGUUAUUAAUGGAAUUCCUUGUCGGCUUUCCGUGAAAUACUCGUUUGGUCGAGGACUUCCAAACACGUCAUAAGCUAAACCCGUACUGACAAAUAACCAACCCGCAAUGAAUAGGGAAGGUAUAGUAAUGCUAUGAAUAACCCAGUAUCGAAUACUGGUAAUAAUAUCAGCAAAAGAACGUUCUCCCGUGCUUCCAGACAUGCUGAGCUCCCAAAAUUUUUAUUCAAAAAAGGAAUUGAUUCCGUAAAAGAUGGGAUCCACCAGUAAAUAGAAAAUUACUGAUAUUUCAUCCUUGUGAGAUUGUCAAUUUUGUACCAAAGGUGUAUUUUGAGUAUACCGAAUGAUCUCCCUAGGCCUGUGCCUCACGUUGACAUCCUACGGGAGCUAGCUGUGGUCCCCGUCCCGGCGGGGGGUCAUGACCCACAUCUCGAGCAAAUCCGCGAGAUGCAGGCCAAGCUCGACGAGGGGGCAGGAACACUUGAGCCGAUCCGCCGGGACAUCGGGCGGGAAUGGGCGGGCCAACCUCCAGUCGGAGAAGUGCGUCACCUACCCCAGGGUAUCCAGCACCGCAUCGCCGACGAUGUCAGGGUAAGGCCGCCACCGGCUUCCAGUGGAGUCGGCCAGAACCUGGCUGCAGCGGCAAUGCUUCUUCGCGCGAUGCCGGAGCCAUCAACCACCAAGGGGCGGCGAAUUUAGGGAGAGCUCAAGAAUCUCCUGGAGGACGCCGCGGUCCGACGGGCCGAAAGCUCCGCCUCCCAAAGGCAGGGGUACCCCUCGGAACAUCGCGCCGCAACUUCCCGAUUCAUGCGGGAAGCCUCGGUCCACACCGGGCGCACGCGCAACACAGCGCCUGCCGCCCCGGGUCGCCUCGACAACGAGCACCACCACCGCAACCGUCGGGCCCACCUCGACGAGAGGGUGCGCCGAGGCUACCACCCCAGGCGUGGGGGACGCUACGACAGCGGGGAGGAUCGGAGUCCCUCGCCCGAACCACCCGGUCCGUAGGCUUUCAGCCGCGCCAUACGACGGGCGCCGUUCCCGACCCGGUUCCGAACCCCGACUACUAUCACAAAGUACUCGGGGGAGACGAGACCAGAACUGUGGCUCGCGGACUACCGGCUGGCCUGCCAACUGGGUGGAACGGACGAUGACAACCUCAUCAUCCUCAACCUCCCCUGUUCCUCUCCGAUACUGCUCGUGCCUGGCUGGAACACCUGCCUCCGGGGCAUAUCUCCAACUGGGACGACCUGGUCCAAGCCUUCGCCGGCAAUUUCCAGGGCACAUAUGUGCGCCCUGGAAACUCCUGGGAUCUCCGAAGCUGCCGACAGCAGCCGGGAGAGUCUCUCCGGGACUACAUCCGACGAUUCUUGAAGCAGCGCACCGAGCUGCCCAACAUCACCGAUUCAGAUGUCAUGGGUGUGUUCCUCGCCGGCACCACCUGCCGCGACCUGGUGAGCAAGCUGGAUCGCAAGACCCCCCACCAGGGCGAGCGAGCUGAUGGACAUCGCCACCAAGUUCGCCUCUGGCCAAGAGGCGGUUGAGGCCAUCUUCCGGAAGGACAAGCAGCCCAAGAGCCGCCCACCGGAAGAUGUCCCCGAGGCGUCAACUCAGCGCGGCGCCAAGAAGAAAGGCAAGAAGAAGUCGCAAGCCAAACGCGACGCCGCCGACGCGGACCUUGUCGCCGCCGCCGAGUACAAGAACCCUCGAAAACCUCCCGGAGGUGCCAACCUCUUCGACAAGAUGCUCAAGGAGUCGUGCCCUUAUCAUGAGGGGCCCGUCAAGCACACCCUUGAGGAGUGUGCCAUGCUUCGGCGCCACUUUCACAAGGUCGGACCACCCAUGGAGGGUGGCAGGGCUCACGACGACGACAAGAAGGAAGAUCACCAGGCAGGAGAGUUCCCCGAGGUCCGCGACUGCUUCAUGAUCUACGAUGGGCAAGUGGCGAAUGUCUCAGCUCGGCACCGCAAGCAAGAGCGUCGGGAGGUCUGUUCGGUAAAGGUGGCGGCGCCAGUCUACCUAGACUGGUCCGACAAGCCCAUCACCUUCGACCGAGAUGACCACCCCGACCGCGUGCCGAGCCCGGGGAAAUACCCGCUCGUUGUCGACCCCGUCAUCGGCGACGUUAGGCUCACCAAGGUCCUCAUGGACGGAGGCAGUAGCCUCAACAUCAUCUACGCCGAGACCCUCGGGCUCCUGCGGGUCGAUCUGUCCUCGGUCCGGGCAGGCGCAGCGCCUUUCCACGGGAUCAUCCCCGGGAAACGCGUCCAGCCCCUCGGGCAACUCGAUCUACCCGUCUGCUUUGGGACGCCCUCCAACUUCCGAAGGGAGACCCUCAAGUUUGAGGUGGUCGGGUUCCGAGGAACCUACCACGCCGUGCUGGGGAGACCAUGCUACGCCAAGUUCAUGGUCGUCCCCAACUACACCUACCUCAAGCUCAAGAUGCCGGGCCCCAACGGGGUCAUCACCGUCGGCCCCACGUACCGACACGCGUACGAAUGCGACGUGGAGUGCGUGGAGUACGCCGAGGCCCUCAUCGCCGACCUGGAGAGCCUCUCUAAGGAGGCGCCAGACGUGAAGCGCCACGUCGGCAACUUCGAGCCAGCGGAGACGGUUAAAUCCGUCCCUCUCGACCCUAGCAGCGAUGCCUCCAAGCAGAUCCGGAUCAGCUCCGAGCUCGAUCCCAAAUAGGAAGCAGUGCUCGUCGACUUUCUCCACGCAAACGCCGACGUUUUCGCGUGGAGUCCCUCGGACAUGCCUGGCAUACCGAGGGAUGUCACCGAGCACUCGCUGGAUAUCCGAGCUGGAGCCCGACCCGUGAAGCAGCCUCUGCGCCGAUUCGACGAAGAAAAGCGCAGAGCCAUAGGCGAGGAGAUCCACAAGCUAAUGGCGGCAGGGUUCAUCAAAGAGGUAUUCCAUCCCAAAUGGCUUGCCAACCCUGUGCUUGUGAGAAAGAAAGGAGGGAAAUGGCAGAUGUGUGUAGACUACACUGGUCUAAACAAAGCAUGUCCGAAAGUUCCCUACCCUCUGCCUCGCAUCGAUCAAAUCGUGGAUUCCACUGCUGGGUGCGAAACCCUGUCCUUCCUCGAUGCCUACUCAGGGUAUCACCAGAUCAGGAUGAAAGUGUUCGACCAGCUCGCGACCUCUUUCAUCACACCCUUCGGCAUGUACUGCUAUGUUACCAUGUCGUUCGGCUUGAGGAAUGCGGGUGCAACGUACCAACGGUGCAUGAACCAUGUGUUCGGCGAACACAUUGGCCGAACGGUCGAGGCCUACGUCGAUGACAUCGUAGUCAAGACGAGGAAAGCCUCCGACCUCCUUUCUGACCUUGAAGUGACAUUCCGAUGUCUCAAAGCGAAAGGCGUGAAGCUCAAUCCCGAAAAGUGUGUCUUCGGGGUUCCCCGAGGCAUGCUCUUGGGGUUCAUCGUCUCCGAGCGGGGCAUCGAGGCCAACCCGGAGAAGAUCGCAGUCAUCACCAGCAUGGGGCCCAUCAAGGACUUGAAAGGCGCACAGAAAGUCAUGGGAUGCCUUGCGGCUCUGAGCUGCUUCAUCUCGCGCCUCGGCGAAAGAGGUCUGCCUCUGUACCGCCUCUUAAGGAAGGCCGAGUGCUUCACUUGGACCCCUGAGUCCGAGGAAGCCCUCGGGAACCUAAAGGCGCUCCUUACAAAUGCGCCCAUCUUGGUGCCCCCCGCUGUCGGAGAAGCCCUCUUGAUCUACGUCGCCGCGACCACUCAGGUGGUUAGCGCCGCGAUUGUGGUUGAGAGACGAGAAGAGGGGCAUGCAUUGCCCGUCCAGAGGCCAGUCUACUUCAUCAGCGAGGUACUGUCCGAGACCAAGAUCCGCUACCCACAAAUUUAGAAGCUGCUGUACGCGGUGAUCCUGACGCGGCGGAAGUUGCGACACUACUUCGAGUCUCAUCCGGUAACUGUGGUGUCAUCCUUCCCCCUGGGGGAGAUCAUCCAGUGCCGCGAGGCCUCGGGUAGAAUUGCAAAGUGGGCGGUGGAAAUCAUGGGCGAGACGAUCUCGUUCGCCCCUCGGAAGGCCAUCAAGUCCCAGGUGUUGGCGGACUUCGUGGCUGAAUGGGUCGACACCCAGCUCCCAACAGCUCCAAUCCAACCGGAACUCUGGACCAUGUUCUUCGACGGGUCGUUGAUGAAGACAGGAGCAGGCGCAGGCCUGCUCUUCAUCUCGCCCCUCGGGAAGCACCUACGCUACGUGCUACGCCUCCACUUCUCGGCGUCCAACAAUGUGGCUGAGUACGAGGCUCUGGUCAACGGAUUGCGUAUCGCCAUUGAGCUAGGGGUCCGACGCCUCGACGCUCGUGGUGACUCGCGGCUUGUCAUCGACCAAGUCAUGAAGAACUCCCACUGCCGCGACCCGAAGAUGGAAGCAUACUGCGAUGAGGUUCGGUGCCUGGAAGACAAGUUCUACGGGCUCGAGCUCAACCACAUCGCCCGACGCUACAACGAGACUACGGACGAGCUGGCUAAAAUAGCCUCGGGGCGAACAACGGUUCCCCCGGACGUCUUCUCUCGAGACCUGCAUCAACCCUCCGUCAAGACCGACGACACGCCCAAGCCCGAGAAGGCCUCGGCCCAGCCCAAGGCACCCUCGGCUCAGUCCGAGGUACCCUCGGCUCAGUUCGAGGUACCCUCGGCACAGUUCGAGGCACCCUCGGCUCAACCCGAGGCACCCUCGGCUCGGCCCGAGGUACCCUCGGCCCCGAGGGUGAGGCACUGCGCGUCAAGGAGGAGCGAAGCGGGGUCACGCCUAAUCGAAACUGGCAGACCCCGUACCUGCAAUAUCUCCACCGAGGAGAGCUACCCCUCGACCGAGCCGAAGCUCGGUGGUUGGCGCGGCGCUCCAAGUCGUUCGUCUUGCUGGGAGACGAGAAGGAGCUCUACCACCGCAGCCCCUCGGGCAUCCUCCAGCGAUGCAUUUCCAUCGCCGAAGGUCAGGAGCUCCUACAAGAGAUACACUCGGGGGCUUGCGACCAUCACGCAGCACCUCGCACCCUUGUUGGAAACGCCUUCCGACAAGGUUUCUACUGGCCGACGGCGGUGGCCGACGCCACUAGAAUUGUCCGCACCUGCGAAGGGUGUCAGUUCUACGCAAGGCAGACCCACCUACCUUCUCAGACCCUGCAGACCAUACCCAUCACCUGGUCGUUUGCUGUGUGGGGUCAGGACCUAGUCGGCCCCUAGCAGAAGGCACCCGGGGGCUACAUGCACCUGCUGGUCGCCAUCGACAAAUUCUCCAAAUGGAUCGAGGUCCGACCCCUAAACAGCAUCAGGUCCGAACAGGCGGUGGCGUUCUUCACCAACAUCAUCCAUCGCUUUGGGGUCCCGAACUCCAUCAUCACCGACAACGGCGCCCAGUUCACCGACAGAAAGUUCCUAGACUUCGGCGAGGAUCACCACAUCCGGGUGGACUGGGCCGCCGUGGCCCACCCCAUGACGAAUGGGCAGGUAGAAUGUGCCAACGGCAUGAUUCUGCAAGGACUGAAGCCUCGGAUCUACAACGACCUCAACAAGUUCGGCAAGCGGUGGAUGAAGGAACUCCCCUCGGUGGUCUGGAGCCUGAGGACAACGCCGAGCCGAGCCACGGGCUUCACACCUUUCUUUCUAGUCUAUGGGGCCGAGGCCAUCUUGCCCACAGACUUAGAAUACGGUUCCCCGAGGAUGAGGGCCUACGCCGACCAAAGCAAUCAAGCUAAUCGAGAAGACUCACUGGACCAGUUGGAAGAGGCUCGGGACAUGGCCUUACUACACUCGGCGUGGUACCAGCAGUCCCUGCGACGCUACCACGCCCGAGGGGUUCGGUCCCGAGACCUCCAGGUGGGCGACCUGGUGCUUCGGCUGCGACAAGACGCCCGAGGGCGGCAUAAGCUCAUGCCUCCCUGGGAAGGGCCGUUCGUCAUCGCCAAAGUUCUGAAGCCCGGAACGUACAAGCUGGCCAACAGUCAAGGCGAGGUCUACAGCAACGCUUGGAACAUCCAACAGCUACGUCGCUUCUACCCUUAAGAUGCUUUCAAGUCAUUCGUAUGCCUCGUUCCCAUGCAAAGUUUAGUCAUCAAGGAAGGGUCAGCCUUGCCUCGGCAAAGUCCGACCCUCCCUCGGGGGCUAAAAGGGGGGGAACCCCCUCUGCGCCAAAAUUUUCCUUGGAAAAAGAUCUUUUUCACCAGAAUGUCUUUCGUGCUUUUCGACUACUUCGAAAGUGGAUCCUGAAAACGAUGGAGUACACGUAAGUAGCCAAGGCUGACCGAGCCGAGGGACUCCUACGCCUCCGGGAUACGGAUACCUCACUCAUCACCUUCUGCGAUAAGUAACUCGCGCUCGGAUAAGUGAUUCCGCGGACCAAACAAGUCUUCACGCUCGAAAGCUCCUCUGCUGGAACGAUUUUUCGGGCCUUCUCGACUGCGUCGGUGAUAGAACCCUAUGGACGAGUAAGAGUGCGCGUAAGCGGCAAGGCCGACCGAGCCGAGGGAUUCCUACGCCUCCGGGAUACGGAUACCUCACUCAUCACCUUCCGUGAAAAGCAACUCUCGCUCACACAAACAAUUCUGUUACCGACAAGUAAGUCUAGACACUCGAAACAAGAGGAAAAGAAACGCAGCUUUACAACAUGACGAUGGUAUGUUUGGGCCUCGGUGGCCACAGAAAACAUACACACACUACAAGAUAAUCCGACCCUGCAGGCUCGGAUCUUGACAGUUGAAGGGAGCAGCAGCACCCUCGGCGUCAACUCCACCUUCGGCAAGGUCCGACCUAGCCUCGGACGGCGACGGGGUCGGAGGAUCUCCACUCUGAAGGACGACAUCAGCACCACGCCCAGGCCAUCGCCGCCAGGGUCUUCUCUAGAAAUCCGGCUCGAGCAGACGGCUCGACCGGCCACCCCGAGGCCUCGGUCGGCUGUCCCCCGAAGACACGAGCCUGGCCCGUGGCCUCGGCAACUCAACUCCGGCGUCAAUCCCACCAGCGGACGACCCGGCCAGGCUCCGGCUGACCAAGUCUUCUUUUCGAAGCCAACUCUGCCUCUGUUCGAGCUGACACCGCUACCUCCGGCUUCGGCUCAUCGAAGAGCGGCCGAGGGGUUCCUUUAACUAAGCAAGAGAAGCCUUGGACGGCAAGGCCGACCGAGCCGAGGGACUCCUACGCCUCCGGGAUACGGAUACCUCACUCGUCACCUUCGCACGAGACGACUCACGCUUGGUGAAGCGGUUCAGAUAACCAACAGACGAGUCUUAGUGCUCGAAAAUGAGGAAAAAACACGGCUCCGCGCCGAAAAUACAUACAUGUUCAGGCCCCGACAGCCACAAUGAACAGAAGACCGGCAUUCAAGGUGCCAUUACAAACGGAACCCCGAUUCCACCUCCGCAGGUACGAACAACCCCACACGAUUGGGGGGCCUGCGGAGCAACAGAAGACCGACGAACGGCUCGCCGUCGCCCGCUCCAGCGGCGACGACGACGACGACUUCUGCUCCGGGGGGGCCAAACAGCAGCAGCGAUGACCUCAGGGCGGAUGCUGCUGCCAUGAGGCCCUCGCCCAUGCCCUCACCCGAGAGGCAAGAACGAGCAGAAGGCCGUAGAGUUGGAGGUCAGUCCGUGGGCGGCACCGGCUAUCUCGUCGGCGGAGAAACCUCUUUCGGCUGCCGUGGCGGAAAGCGGCGCCGGGAGCGGCUCCGAAGCCACUCGGCUCAGAGAGCCAGGCACGCGGCAGCUGCCAAUGCCACGAACGACGAACGCCCUUCGCCCCGAUCACUGAGGGAAGGAGCAGGCCGCCGCCUGCGUAGGGGCCGACCCCAACUCGGCACACUCCCCUCCCCAGCACUGAUGAUGAAAAUCCUUGGAGCCGAGGGAGGGGCAGAGGCCGCAACCCGGCUCGCUUUUCCCACCAUCGAACUGGAGGUCACCGUCUUGGGUGACCACCGGCGAGGGGAUGCAGCCGGGCUGCCUGAUGAAAAUCCUUGAAGUCGAACGAUGGCUGAAAGGUACCAACUUCCAUGAAGUUGCGUUCCUCCAACGGCAAGGCGGAAGGAUUGCGGGUGUUCCCCAUCCGGGGGCUCGGAAGGUGGAAAGACACGAUGCAUAAGGGAGCGCGAAGACAUGGUCACCUUCCAAGGGAGUCACCCUCCUUUCAAAGGCGACUCUCCCUACUUGUGUCCCCAGCCGUCGCGGGCUGAGUCUUCUCCAACACGCUCCAAGAUCCUCCCCCUACGGCGCGGGGGCUGGGUCCCACGCGUCAUGCAAGCUGGCCCAGAGUAGAAGAAGCCAAACCGCCGCGCGUGGUGCAUGCAACUGCCCAACGGUUACGAGCAUUCCUCCACUUUCGCCCAGACCAGCGGGUGAAAGGGCGGGCAGCCAUGCAGGCGGCAUGCAACCGUGCCAAGUGGGCGCACCCCUCCGACUUCCAACGCACCCAGCAUGGAGGCCCAGGCCCACGCGUCAUGCAACCGGCGCGCCGGUUGCUACGUGCGAGCAACUGCACCGCCACUCGCACCACUACCACGCCUCCUCGACUGCGGAACCGGUACCGCGACUCGAGGCAACCCUGCGUAUGACCCAGCAGUGCCAGCCAGGCGCGACGGUCAAUACGGCCAAAAAUGGGCCGGCAGUAAUGGCGGUGGCAGGCGGGCAGGAGCAGCGGUCACGUCGUCAGCCAAGCUUACGUCCCAUCCAAGGGCAGCGAGAGAACCCUCUCUCACGGUGUGAAGACGGCGCGCCCGUGUUCCGUUCCUCGAACGGCUCGCGCACGCGCAACGGCCGCCUCGUGAACCACUCGCCCCGUCGCAUUAACUCCGCGGCGGGACAGGCGGCGCCUCAGGCAGGAGAAGCAAGCGACGCUUCGCCUUCGCCAUAAUGACCGCGUCAAAAAAGGUACGCCACGUCAUUCGAUUUCGUAUCCUUUUCCUUUUCCUCUUUCUCUCUGUUGGGGGCCUUCGGCUUCCGAAGGUCCUCAAAAACAUGAUUUAACAAUGUUUCUGGAGUAUAAUGUGUGAACAGGUAUCUUCGGACUCGAAUCGGUACCACAGUGGGAGAAGCCCAAAGAAUACGAAGGUUGACAAAGCGCCGAAGCUGUGAGCAGGAAAGCUUCAACGUGAUAGCAGAAAAGGAAACCGACUUAAAGAUGAAAACGCUAUUCAGACCUCGGAGGAUUACUAUAGAAUUACUACCAAAUGUAAAGGGCAUGGGUGUAAUUUUACAUGGGCUGUGUCCAGUGACUAUAAAUAGGUGAACAGUGCCCCCGUACUGUUCACGCGGACUGGGCAUUUACUUUUGCGUCACGCUUGUACUUCUACCUUCUUUCGAGCCAAAGGUACAUUUGUAAUUUGAUAUCAUUUCUAUAUUUCUAUAAUAAUAAUAUAGAAAUGAGUUGAUAAUUAUAUAUAAUUGUUUACGUUAUCCUUUAUAUUACAUAUGAUUCCUUCUUCAUUAUGGUAUGUUGUGUUGAUGAAGGUUUGUUCUUCAUAACCUUCGUCCGAAAAUCAUUAUAUCCCAAGGGAAAUAAUGCUUCGAAGGACGAAGGACUUUAACGUUUAACAUUUUUUGUGUUGCCUUGUUCUUAACUCAUAGCAUUUGAGAAUAAGUCCUCAACAUUGGCGCCCACCUCCGGUGAACUCACUUCCACUCUUUGAGUUUUGAACAUCUUCGACAAUCAUAAACCUUCGAUAUGGCGCCGAAGAAAGCUUCAGCAACUGGGGCUGCAGCUCUGCAACCGCUGGACCCCAAUCAGGAGACUCUCUCCCUUCGGGAGGCCCGAAGCCAGAAGAGGAAGGCUGUCAGCCCGACACCGCAAGAGGAUGAGCUAGACCAAGAAAUCAGAGACAUGGAGAUGCUUCAUCAACAGGUGCAGAGGAAGAAGGAAAAGAUGGCCAGGCUAGCUGAACUGCAAAGGCAGAUAGACGAAGCCUCUAAAGAAGUUCGUCAUCUUACUCAGGAUGAGCAGAACCGAAGGCCUCAGCACAAAGACCUUCAUCAGGAGGACUUCUUCAACAAAGAUGACUGGUAUGAGAAUUUCCACCAUGGAAAUUUUGUUUUUGAUGAUGCUUCUCCUCUGUCCGCUGAGCUGCAGGCUACACCUUGUCCUCCGUCCUACAAGCCGCCCCAGCUUCCCAUAUUCGACGGCCAUUCAGACCCGAAGCAGUUUUUGAUGAGCUACGAAGAAACAGUAUCUUUGUAUGGUGGCAAUACUGCAGUCAUGGCAAAAUCUUUUGUUAUGGCUGUCAGGAGUGUUGCUCAAACCUGGUAUUCCUCCCUUCGACCAGGAACGAUCACUUCAUGGCAAAAGCUGAAGGACAUGUUGUUAACCAGUUUCCAAGGGUUUCAGACGAAGCCGGUCACUGCUCAAGCUCUAUUCCAAUGCACCCAGGAUCAUGAAGAAUACCUUCAGGCAUAUGUCCGGAGGUUCUUGCAUUUGAGGGCACAGGCGCCAACAGUGCCCAACGAAAUUGUCAUUGAGGCCAUGAUCAAGGGACUUCGGCCAGGACCUUCAGCUCAGUACUUUGCUAGGAAGCCUCCUCAAACUUUGGAGAAGCUGCUCCAGAAGAUGGACGAGUAUAUUCGGAUCGACAAUGAUUUUCGUCAAAGAAGGGAGGAGGCUUUCAGGUUUUCCGAAAUGACCAGGGGCUUCGGAGGAAGAUUUUAUCCGAGGCACGUUAGGUCAAUUCACAACUCUACUCAAAAUGAUGAUAAGGGGAGCCAGCAGCAAAGGCCACAGGGCUCCUCACAGGCUUCGGGGCAACAGCAAAGCUCCUUCCGGCCGCCAGCUCCAAGAGGCAGAGGUGCCAGGGGCUUCGGCGGAAGAUUUGGAGAUCAACCAAGGAGAAUAUUUUGCUUGUUCUAUGGUGAAAACAAGGGUCAUACCACCAGGAUGUGCCAUGUUACCAUCCAGAAGCAAAAGGAGAUAGCCGAAGCUGCAGCACAACAGGGUCAGCCGAAGCAGAUCAUGCACACUCCUUCGUAUCAUUCGCCUUAUAUCCCAGAAUAUGUAGGCAACCACCCCGCAGUUUCUGUUGCUUCGGCGAGUCAAUCUCAAGCUUCCUGGCAACAGCCUCCGCCUCCACCACCGCUGCAACAAGGCCAGCAGCCAGAAGGGGGUCAAUAUGCUCAACACCAAAGGGACUUCAGAGAGCAGUCCGAAGCUCGCACAGUCAAUAGCACUGUGCCAGAGUCGAAGCACAUUUAUUGACAAAUAUCCUACCUUAAUAGUAGUCUUUUCCAUUCAGUUUUAUUUUCUGUGUAAUAAAGGACACUUUUUAAAUCUCAUGUAAUAGUUUCGUUGUUUGCCACAAGGAAAAUAUAUCUUUUCCACAGGCUUAAGUUGUUGAAGCUUAAAGAUUUGCGAUAGCAAGGAGGACCUUCGAAUUAUCAAAAAUUUAUUUUAAAAAGGCACGGUAUGAAUUCUUCGAAGCAACAAAAAGUCGUUCUAAGGAACGCAGAGUAAGUUUGCUGAAGUUACAAAAAGACGUUCCAAAGGGAGCGCAGUGUAAGUUUUCUGCUCAAAAGUCGUUCCAAAGGGAAUGCAGAGCUUACAGCAAAAAGUCAACGCUGAUUCCGCCUAAGUAAAAGGCGAAGCGCGAAAAGUCAACGCGAAUACCGCCGAAAGUAAAAGGCGAAGAAGCUCCUAAGGGAGGCUUACAGCGAAAAGUCAACGCUGAUUCCGCUGAAGUAAAAGGCGAAGAAGCUCCUAAGGGAGGCUUACAGCGAAAAGUCAACGCUGAUUUAAAAAGAUUAUGUGUUUUUAUUGCGCGGAUGUGCGUGUGUCUUCGGAAUAAAUACCAUUUUACAUAGCAUAACAUCAUCACAUCAUUUUGCAUAGCAUAAGCAUCAUGCAUCAUGCUGCAUAUGGCACAAGAAGGGGACACAAUAUCGAUCUUCGGAAGAAUGCUUUGAAAAAGGGAAAAUCAUGCUAAGUCACAAGGAGAUACAAUAUUGAUCUUCCGAAUGUAGCUUCGGAAAAUAUUUUCACGAAGCUUGGAUAUUCUUCAUCAGAACACUAUGGAUAUUGUUGUGAUGAAUGAAAAUUCUUCUUCACAAAGCAUGAAAAGAAGGGAAGGUGUUUUUUCGUCAAAGACUCAAAAACGGUACGUAUGUAGAAUUUCAUGCAUCGUAAAGAAUUGAACCAUAAAAACAAGUAUAUUACAUUCAGAGUUACAAGAUAUUACACAUACAAGAUAUUACACAUAUUACAUUUCAGAUGUUUUUAUAAUAGCACCUAGUCUUCCCUAAGUACUACUUCCGCAGCUUCGUUCAGGAGUUGAUUGACAACUUGAUCCAUGAUAGCUUCAGCCAUCUUUUUAAUUUCAUCGUCUUCUUUCGGGUGAGGACCCGGAGAUGCUUUAGAAGGAUCUGAGGGAGGACAGGAUACGGCUACAUUGCUAUUACAAAUUGCGAACGAAGUUUAAAAUCAAAAAUUACAGCACAAUAAAAACCAUUAGUUAAUACCUAUUUGCCCUUCAGGCUCUGCGCUUUUUUCAACAGCCUCUGCUACUUUUCUUGCGGCGUGAAUGCCUUUUUCGCUUUUUUGGAUAAUUUCUCGGGCCAUUUCUCGACCACCAUUGUCCCAGAUAUCGGUGAAAAAUUUUCCACCAACCAUGCUAGCUUCGGCUGAAGGAUCUUUUGCAUCUUCGAAGGGCAAGGUAGCUUCGGAUUGCGCUAAAAUCUUUACAUGCUCGCAGCCUUUUCUCUCCAAAAUGGUGGCAAUCCCCCUGGCACCCGAAAAAGCGCAUAUGUCUCCGCGGCUAUUUAAAAUUUCCUCAAAGGCUUCAGCUUCGUGAUUAAUCCAUUCGAUGGGACCUUCGGGGUUGCCUCUUGUAAAGUUUUCUUCGCUCGAGAAUGCGCCAACGCUGGCGAAGCUAGCUUUCAUUUUCUUAACACACUCCAUAGAUUUGUCAUAACAUCUUUUCUUGGACGAACGAAGCUCUUCAACAGUUCCUUCUAAAUGAUUUGCCCAUUGGUCGCUAAGUUCUCGCUUCGUUUCUUCAAGUAUGUGUUCUUCUUUAGCUCGGGCUAAUUGCUUCCGAAGAUCAUCAAUCUCGUGCUUUUGAGCUGCAGCUUGUGCUUUAGAGGCAGCUUCGUCCUCCUUUAUUUUAUCCACCAAUGUAACUAGAAUUUUGUCCUUUUCCAAGGCUUCGUUUCUUAGUUUGAUAACCUCUGUUCGAAGGUUGUUGAAAGCAAUUUCAUAGCUCUCGUCUUCGGCAUUCUUUUGCGCUCUCAGCGCGUUGCUUAGAAUUAAACCCUAUAUGUAAAAGAGUUAGUAUAAGAAUAAAAGAGUAAAUUUCAAAUCAUAAAGUUUCCAAAUGCGCAGAUCUCGCACCUUCAGGCUAUUAUACGCAAGGCUGUCUGCAAGAUCGUCCUUUGUCAUCGCGCAGAGGCCAGCCUCCAGCUUCGGAAACCCCAUGCUUCGGGCCAUUUCCCGGCAGACGAGUAAUUCCUUGUUAUCCGGGAGGCAGUAUAGAAAAUCUUCUUCAUUUGUACCAUUGAACACUAGUGCCCCCUUCGGAUAUUUCAAUUCUUUGGCAUAAUGAUUAGCUUCAAAAACUUCUUCUUCUGAUAACUUUUUCCCCGAAGCGUGUCGAACAAUGUAAUCAAGGACUUUGGGGGAUGCUUCGGGGGCAACAGCACUGAUUUCUUCAACAAGAAUUGGCUCCGUCAUUUUUUCUUCCUCGGUUUCCAAGGGUUUUACCUUCGUGGGCUCUAAAGGCCCAGCUUCAGUCUCAGUUUGUUGUUUUGGAGCUUUAGUGUCAAAGAUUUCAGUUUCCGCUUCGGAAGUUUCAAUAGUCUUCUUCGUAGUCGUGCUUGAGGACUUAAUUGUCUCCAGAACAUCUAGCACAUUGACCAUUCUUUUUCUUUUCGGGGUCACCGCUGGGCCCUUUUGGUUUUUUAUUGUCUCAACACUUGCUGAAGGACUUAAAAUUUCCAAUAUUUUUGUUCCUUCAGUUCUCGGUUUUUCUGCUUUCUUUGCUGAGGGUGCUUCAGUUUUUUCUUCGAUCUUCGGCACUGAAGUUGGUUCUUUAAUUUCGGUGGCCGAAGAGGUUUCGCCGGCGAACUCAGGCACUGUAGCUAGUUCAAUGUAGCGUGGCCGGUGGGUGAGAACCUUUACCCUUUGUCUCUUCGGCGCUGGCUCGCUGGGAGCGGCUGAACUAGUUUCCUGUGCAGAAGUUGCGCUUUUUCUUUUUUGGCCCCGCGCUGGAUAGUGGUAGUCGGGGUACAUGAACCCAAUUGCGUCAAACACUCGGUUCAGUCUUAUCUUUUUCCGCCCUCCGAAGGCUGCUGACAAUGCAGUAUCUUCGGCCUUUGAAUAAACCCCAAGUAGUUCAUCACUUAAAUUUUCAAUGCUUUUCAGCCAGUCAUCAUCUGGCUCAACGAAUUUAUCUCCAAACUUGAAAGUGUACUUCAGCCUGAUAAGUCCACCUUCGUCAGCCUCCUUUAUGGUCUCUUGCGGCAUUUCCCAUCUUUCCGCGAGCGGCCAUACUCUGAAGGCAAUAUGCUCUUGGACCAAAUCCCUCGUUCCAAUAAAAGAGCAAACAACUCCGAAGGCUCUCUGGCAUUCUUCGGCAGCUUCAUUCAUUUCAACCUUCAGCUUCCGCAUGCCGAAGCGUUGCCAAAUAGGGCGCAUAAUUAUACCUUUAAUAUCUUCCCGUGUUUUCAGGUCAUUCUUCACAUAAAACCAUUCUGUCAUCCAGUUGCCGGGCCAUCUCUUCCGAAAGGUUGGCACGGGACAGCUUGACCCGGACCGAGAGACGAAACUGUAGCAGCCAAAAUUAUUGUGAUACUGCUCCUUACCCCAGGGUUUUGUCUCGUAUAACAAUUCGUGUAUGUUGCAGAAACUUUUCGCAUCAGGUUCCAGACCUUGGCUUCUCACGGCCCACACGAAGAUAUUCAUCCUUAUGAUUGCUUCGAGGGUAAGUUGGUGAAGAUAGAUUUCAAAUAUUUUCAACACCUCUACGACGAAGCUGCUCAGGGGAAAUCGUAGUCCAGCUUUCAAAAAGCUUCGGAAUACUACGACUUCAUUUUCCUCAGGGGUCGGACAAGUCUUCUCUCCUUCGUCGGCCCUCACAACGGACAAGUCCCGGAAAUAUCUUCCUCUCAUGUUGACAAGGUGAUUUUCUUUGAUACUUGAUUUGCCAAAAACCGCAUGGCUUGGUCGCCAAGGGCGAUCUUCGGAGUCUUCACCACCACUAUCCGCAUCAUAACUGUCGUUGUCAUCAGUAUCUUCAGAUAAACCCUCUAAAAUCUCUUUGGUGAUCUUUUCUGUAUUGGUUUUCGACAUUGCUUCAAGAAACCCCAGGUUUUUCUCUUCAGAGAGACUCAGCUUCAUCUCGAUAGCAGCCUUUUUAUCUUCAGACAUCUUCGAAAAUGCUAAAAAACUGUUUUCAAAGCCGAAGCUUGAAAACUUAAAAAGCCAAGCAAGUGUUGGUGCGCAAGAGCUAAAAAUUGAGUAAGCAAGAGCAGAUGGCAAGAAAGCGUGCUAACUGAGCUCGUGCUAUGCUCUUAUUUAUACGCCCAGUGCAUUGAAAAUUGGAAGACCCCGCUUGUCAGUGAAUGUUGCUAUUCUAGCAAAGGGAAGGUGUUUUUUCGGACCUUCGGCUUAAGGCCUCCGUCCAUGUCGCAAUCUAAAUUUAUCAUUCUAACAAAUUAAUAUUGCGAGGGGCUACUAUUGGGGGCCUUCGGCUUCCGAAGGUCCUCAAAAACAUGAUUUAACAAUGUUUCUGGAGUAUAAUGUGUGAACAGGUAUCUUCGGACUCGAAUCGGUACCACAGUGGGAGAAGCCCAAAGAAUACGAAGGUUGACACAGCGCCGAAGCUAUGAGCAAGAAAGCUUCAACGUGAUAGCAGAAAAGGAAACCGACUUAAAGAUGAAAAGGCUAUUCAGACCUCGGAGGAUUACUAUAGAAUUACUACCAAAUGUAAAGGGCAUGGGUGUAAUUUUACAUGGGCUGUGUCCAGUGACUAUAAAUAGGUGAAUAGUGCCCCCGUACUGUUCACACGGACUGGGCAUUUACUUUUGCGUCACGCUUGUACUUCUACCUUCUUUCGAGCCGAAGGUACAUUUGUAAUUUGAUAUCAUUUCUAUAUUUCUAUAAUAAUAAUAUAGAAAUGAGUUGAUAAUUAUAUAUAAUUGUUUAUGUUAUCCUUUAUAUUACAUAUGAUUCCUUCUUCAUUAUGGUAUGUUGUGUUGAUGAAGGUUUGUUCUUCAUAACCUUCGUCCGAAAAUCAUUAUAUCCCAAGGGAAAUAAUGCUUCGAAGGACGAAGGACUUUAACGUUUAACAUUUUUUGUGUUGCCUUGUUCUUAACUCAUAGCAUUUGAGAACAAGUCCCCAACACUCUCUCUCUUACAACAGGGACCGGGAAAGGGGGAUACCCCGAAAAGGAUCCUUCUCCAUGAAGGAAACAGGCCCCGAGCCUCCCUACUGAUCAGAGGUUCAAAGGCUGGCCCCUCGGAGGGGUUCAACGGCCGCCUCAGAGCGCUUGGGUUCCGCGCCCACUACUGGUCAGAGGUUCGAAGGCCGGCCCCUCGGAAGGGUUCAACGGCCGCCUCAGGCCACCCGGGCUCCGCGCCCACUACUGAUCAGGGGUUCGUAGGCUGGCCCUCGAAGGGUUCACAGUCGCCUCAGACACAGAGCGAGGGAUGACCCUGGGUACGUUCGAUACAUAACCAAGGCUCGGGCUACGCUCCCGAGGUACCCUAGGACAUUUCCGAGACCAGCGGGAACGAUCUUGUAAUGGAAUCCCAUCAGAGGGAGGCAUCGAGCCCUCGGACCCCGUCGAAAGGGGACCGGGUCCGGCAGAUCACCCACAGGUACUUUUGGAGCGCGCCUCCGGGCCUCUAGCCGACCCCUAACAAAUGGGGCACGGGCGUCCACUCGGAUCACCCGUCAGCAGCUCACCGGAAACACCAUGUUCGACGCCCUCCGAGGGCAACAUGGCGCUUUCCCCCCUCCUCCUUGCGGAAAGGCGACGCAGGGGCGUAUGUAAAAAAGUCGAGUCUGUCCUUGACCGUCCUCUCGCCCUGUGCAGAGGCUCGGGGGCUGCUCUCGCAAACCCGGCUCCGGCCAAACCGUUGACAGCGUCAACAUACCAGCCCGAGAACUUGGGACCCGAUCGUGCACCCGGGCUACAGCCAGCUCGCAUGAGGGAACAACCAGACCAGCCGAAGUUUUGCGAAAUGCAUUAAGACCUCGAAGGAGUCAAACCACUCCUCCGAGGCCACGGGGGCUACACCCGGCGGGUGCGCUCGCGCGCACCCACCGGAACAAAACGCAACCGAGAAAGGCUGGUCCCCUUGCAAAAAAGUGCGACAAAAGCCUCCAAGCGAGUAUUAACACUCCCUUCGAGACUCGGGGGCUACUGUCGGGGACCAUAAUUAGGGGUACCCUCAAGACUCCUAAAUCUCAGCUGGUAACCCCCAUCAGCACAAAGCUGCAAAGGCCUGAUGGGUGCGAUUAAGUCAAAGGUCGGUCCAUUCGAGGGACGCGAUCACGCCUCGCCCGAGCCCAGCCUCGGGCAAGGGCAGCCGACCCCGGAGGAUCUACGUCUCGCCCGAAGACCCCCUCCAGCAACGGGCAUACCCUCGGCUCGCCCGAGACCGAGUCUUCACGGAGAAGCAACCUUGGCCAACUCGCCACGCCAACCGACCAAAUCGCAGGGGCAUUUAAUGCAAAGGUGGCCUGACACCUUUAUCCUGACGCACGCCCUCCAGUCGACAGAGCCGAAGUGACUGCAGUCACUUCGCCGCUCCACUGACCGGUUUGACAAGAGGACAGCGCCGCCUGCGCCGCUCCGACUGCUGUGCCACUCGACAGAGUGAGACUGGCAGCAGCCAAGUCCGACCUCAGGUGCCAUAGGAAACUCCGCUUCGCCCGACCCCAGGGCUCGGAUUCGAGCUCGGCCCCGGAAGACGGCGAACUCCGCUCCGCCCGACACCAGGGCUCGGACUCGGGCUCGGCCCCGGAAGACGACGGACUCCGCUUCGCCCGACCCCAGGGCUCGGACUCGGGCUCGGCCCCGGAAGACGGCGAACUCCGCUCCGCCCGACCCCAGGGCUCGGACUCGGGCUCAGCCCCGAAGGACGACGAACUCCGCUUCGCCCGACCCCAGGGCUCGGACUCAGCCCUGGCAUCAACCGACGGUCUCCGCCUCGUCCGACCCGGGGCUCGGACUCGACCUCGACCUUGGAAGACAGACUCGACCUCGACCUCGGAGGAGCCUACACCUCGCCCAACCUAGGGCACGGACCGACCACGUCAACAGGAGGCGCCAUCAUUACCCUGCCCCAAGCUGACUCAGGCUACGGGGAACAAGACCGGCGUCCCAUCUGGCUCGCUCCGCCAGACAAGUAAUGAUGGCGCCCCGCACGCUCUAUGACGACGACGGCUCUCAGCCCCCUUACGGAAGCAAGAGGACGUCAGCAAGGACUCGACAGCCCCGACAGCUAUCCUUCCGCCAGGCUCCAGCGCUCCUCCGACGGCCACGACACCACACGAACCGGGUGCCAAAACCUCUCCGGCUGCCACGAUGGCAUGUACUUAGGGCGCUAGCUCUCCUCCGCUAGACACGUUAGCACACUGCUACACCCCCCAUUGUACACCUGGAUCCUCUCCUUACGCCUAUAAAAGGAAGGACCAGGGCCCUCUUACAGAGGGUUGGUCGCGCGGGGAAGGACGGGACGGCGCUCGCGUGAGGCCGCUCGCUCCCUCCCGCGUGGACGCUUGUAACCCCCUACUGCAAGCGCACCCAACCUGGGCGCGGGACAAACACGAAGGCCGCGGGAUUCCACCUCUCACGCCCGUCUCCCUCCGGCUUCCUCCCCCCUUCGCGCUCCGUCUCGCGCCGACCCAUCUGGGCUGGGGCACGCGGCGACAAUUUACUCGUCGGUCCAGGGACCCCCCGGGUCUCGAAACGCCGACACCAUCUGAUUCUUAAAGCCCUUGCGAAGCGUUCAAGGUCCAGUAUGCCUAGACCCCCCUUGUUCUUUGGCAGACAUGUUGUAGACCAGUUGAUCAAACAUUGACCUCCACUGCAAGUUUCAGGAUCGUUUCCUUUCCAGAGAAAGCCUCUUCUUAUCUUAUCAAUUUUUUGCAGCAGCCAUUUUUGAACCGGAAAAACCAUAAGUUGAUAAAUCGGUUGGGCGGUUAACACCGAUUUAACCAAAGUUUCUCUGCCUUCCUUUGAGAGGAGUCUGCUUUUCCAACCGGCCAACCUUUUACUGAUUUUUUCCAAUAGCGGUUGCAGGGUGAUCCUUUUAACCUUCCUAAAGUGUAGGGGGAGACCAAGAUACUUUCCGGGCAGAUUAGCAUAUUUGCCAGGGAACACUUCGGAGAGAUUUGGCCAAAGGGACUCAGGAUAACGUAUUGGAAAGAUUUCAGUUUUAUCAAAGUUUAUCUUUAGCCCUGAACAUCCUUCGAAGACUUCUAGAAUCGUUUUAAGAACUUUGAGGUCCGAAUUGUCUGCUCUCACGAACACACCGACAUCAUCUGCAUACAGGGAACAACGAAGCUUUGCCCCUUUCGGCAGGACACUUCCCAAUAGCCCGGCCUGUGCCGCCUUUUCGAUCAUCCGCUGGAGAGGAUCCAUUGCUAAAAUGAAUAGAAAGGGAGAAAGAGGAUCCCCUUGUCGUACGCCACACUUGUGGUUAAUUCUGUUUGUUUGCUCUCCGUUGAUUAUUAUUUUGGAAGAAGAUGAACCCAGAAUUAUAGCGAUCCAAUCACGCCACCUUUGGGAGAAACCGAGGGCUCUUAACACAUAAGGAGAUAUGUCUAAUUUAUGGAGUUGAAGGCUCUGGAGAUGUCAAGCUCUCUUGUGCCAAUAUUUUUCAGAAACUUGUUUCUGACUCUUGCUACAGGGUUCAUAUUCUCCCCGCUGUUGCAUCGUUUGAUGGCUGCAGCAUAAGAGUCAUUUCCAAUUUCCAAGUACUACUAGUAGUAGCUGCUAACACACGAUUACACGCAGCACUCCGAAAAAGCGAGACAGAUACAAUGUCUUGACACCAACUAGCUAGUAUUCCUGAAUCCCGAAAGGCAAGGACGAGUGGACGACCGAGCAAUCCAACAGGUGCCUGAUGGCAUGUCACGGCCGAUGGCCCACUCGCGCCCGCCCGCACGGCUGCAGUACAUCACAACAGAUGCGACGGGCACGACACGUAGUGCAUAAACUCGGCGUCGUGGAGCAGCGCCGCCAUGGUCUCCGGAGGCAGGCACACCUCGAUGUCCACGCUGCCGUCCCCGGCUCGUCCCGGGAACGCCGACAUCUUGCCGUCGAACUUGUUGGCGCGCCCGCUCCGCACAGCGAGGGGCCGGCCCCAGCCGAAAUCGUUGCCCACGUACAUCGGGAACCGGUUCGAGCUCCCCAUCGUGAUCACCGAGCCGUCGGGGUUGCCCAGCGGGAAGCACCGGGGUGCGGCCUGCCACGCGGCCGCCGCGCGCCGGAUCGUGCCGUCGCCAUAGGCCGCAAGGGUCGCGUUCAGCUUGCCUGCCGCCCACCUUAGAUCGCUGCGAGCCAGCUCGGAGACUGUCGCCAUCGUCGCAGCGCUCUGGAUGGCGUUGCCAAAGUAGACAGGAGAGAUGGGCGGCUGCAGCCGGUGCCGGCAGUUCACCGCCAUUCGGAACGUCGUCGUCGCGUCGGGCGCCAGGCGUUUCCGGGCACGCGUGACCGAGAGCCAUAUCUGCGCGCACAGUGACUGGAACGACGAGAUCUCCCCGCGCACUUGGGGAUUCUUGGGGUCCUGCGCCAUCUUGCCGUAAACCUCGGCGUCUUGGCCACCGCUCGGACGGCGGUUGGCAAUCGCUUUCAGCUCGCGAAUUGCGUCAGCGCUGAAGUGAAAGACGCGCUCACGGAGAGGCGCGUCCACGUCGAAGGUCACGGACGGGCCGACGCCGCCGGGGAAGCGGAGGACGGCAGUGGACUCGCCGAAGAAGCUUCGGCGGAAGUCCGGCAGUUUGGGGGACUCGCCGCGGCAGAUGGCCGCCCAGGUAUUGAAGAAUUGCCAAAAAGAGGUGCCGUCCACGACGGCGUGGUUGGCGACGAUGCCGAUAAAGACGGUGCCGUCUCCGAGUGCGGUGACCUGGAACGACGUGAGCGGGCGACGGUGCCCCUCGUAGCUCACGGUCCGGUCCAUGGGGAACAGGUCCUUUGUGUGCUUGGUCGGCACGUCGGCGUCAGGGACGAGAAAGUCGUCAAGCGACAGGCCGGGUGCGACGGCGUGGAGGAAGUCCACGCCCGCGUCGUUGCAGCGGAUGACGAUGCGGUCGUCGGGCAGCGUGACGAAGCGGCCGGCGAGGGCCGGGACGACGGCGAGCGCCCGCGACAGCGAGGACAGGAGCAGCGACACGACCGAGGACAUGGGCAGGUCGGGUGCCGGGAAGAAGAGCCCCUUCUGGAUGUAGUGGCACGACAGCAUGGGCAGGUCGGAGACGGAGAGCGUGAGGUCACCGACCGCCGACGCGGCGUCCGGGCGAACGUGCUGCCUGGACACGACGGUGAUGCCCGAGGGCGGCGCGUCCAGGCAGGCGGCGGCCGGCAGCUUGGGCAUAAUGGCUGACGAGGCCGGGGCGGCGUCCAGCAUGGGCAUGGUGGAGAUCAUCUGAGCCAUGUGUUCGAUUGCCCGGCGCAGCGCUGCACCACCGACCGCUUGCUGCUAGCUGCUGAUGAAGCAGUAGCGGUGGCAGUAUGCGUGUGUGUGGCCAAAGAGGUGGUUUGGGCAGUGCCGCCUUUGCUGUGACACCACCGAACAACCUUGGGCAGUUUAUAUAGGACACGAUGAGGCGCUGGAUGCAUGCACCUGGACCGGUAGUCUGCCUUCUUUUGCCACUACUGUUUUGGAUAUUCUCUGGCCAGGUAUUUGUGGCUGUCGGAAGCAGAAACAGAUGUAUCCGAUAAAGGUGUAGCUAGAGAUUUGUUCUAUGGCCUGCGUGAACAGCGUGUGCGACACAACAAGAAGACACAAUAGAUACCGUUUAAUUUAGAAGCGCACUGGUGAUUUGGAUGUUGGAUCUCAUCAGAAAAGUUUUUUUAACGAAUUAUUUCAGCAUAGCCUUUCCGCAAAAAUAUCGGCAUAUACUAUACUAUUUUUAAAAUAUAUAUAUACAUAGUUUUGUUUUUGCUGCAUACUUCAGCCGGUUGGAUUGUUCUGCAGCUGCCAACAGGUGUCUCCUCUGGGAUGAAGAGGAACAAGUGUCCAUGGAUGCACCAGAAUUUUUUUUAAAUAUAUUUCUUUCAAAGCAAUGACGGGUACCUGUGGAAAGGCUAGCUAAUCAAACCGGUAACUGAUCGGUUUGAUGACUGUUAGAGCACUUGUUGACGAGAUAUUACAGAUUACACUGAAUGACUGAGCAUGUUGUUGGGCGGAUUCAAUGAACACGCAACGGCUUUCCGUAUUAAAAUGAACAACAAACGUAACAUCACAGGGUUUUUUUUUAAAAAAAAAAUCUUGUCGUGCUAAUGUAACCUCGAUUAAUUGUGUUGAGCCUACCGGAUUUUUGAAUGCGUUAGCCACUACUACUAGUCUAUCUACUACUAUAACGUUCGUCCAGCUGCUAGCUACGUGCGUACUACUGUAGGCGAUUAGGCUGGGGGCAGCAUCUCCAUAAUUAUUCAUUCAAUGUGUAGUCCAAUCCAUAUCCGCCUCCUCAAGAACAAGGAGUAUUGAUUAUUUCCAGUAGCGUCAGUUACGUGGUCUACGUCCCUGCUGAAAUAGAAUACGUUGCUCUUGCCUUGUUGCCUAGUCAGUCUAGUGACAUAUGGAUCGCCGCUUGCUCAAUGAUGCUCUCAGUUCUUUACAUUUUCCGUCGAGAAUGGUGCUGUGCGCAUUUUAAUUUAAUUUUGUUUUCCUUAUCGCAACGGUAUUUUAUCGUGCUUAGUGCAUUAUACCAAGUGAAUUGUACACUUGAAAAAAAAAGGUUCAGCGAUGCUAGCUUCUUUGCUGACGGACGGAACACCUAAUGAACUUUCAGUCUGUCAAUGUACGUAAGUAAUCCGUACACGGCUGACGAUCAAUGUAUUUUUUUGAGGAUGCGAGUGGUACUCUUGCCAAUCUUUAGCAAGAAUACGGUACGGGAGGCAUAGAUUUGCGCAGCAGAUCGCAUCAGCGUACGACGACGCUUCUGUAGCCCCAAGCCGGCCCGGCGGCCGUUGUUGGCUGCCUGCCUGCCUCGUGCCCCAGCACGUACGCAUGCAGUGAGCGUCGUCAGGCCCUGGACCAGCGGCCGCGUGUCCUAGAGUAAAACGACCCGACCCGCAGCGUCGGUUUUUCUCCGCCUGCAAUCAUGCGAUGCCAAGGCGUUCGCGACGCACGGCGAGGACGCGCACGCCCGGUUGGCCCGGCGGGGGCCGUUCGUCCUUGGAUACAUGAACCUGCCGCCUUCCGUCCUGUCCAGCUAGCCAUUUUGCCGUCCAUCCUGCAAAGAAUCUUCUUCGUCGGCCGGGCGGGUGGUACCGAAGCUGAAAUCGAUGCACCUGCUAGCUGCUGCAUGCAUAGGCAUGUCUCUGGCUACUCUGGUAGUACAUUACAUAGACAGAUUGUUACUGGUCUGUUCACGUGAGUUUUGUCUUUUACGGAGUAAGAUUUAUCCUAAAUUAAAAUAUUUAAACUUUAACCAACAAUAUAUAUAAGACUAAAUUAUUUUAAACUAAAAAAAGUUAUUAUAAAAGUUUAAGUCACGAUGAAUCUAGUAAUUUUUUUACUUUUAUGUUAUAAAAUCUUAUGAAAAAUCUAAAAAUAACUGGUCAAAGUUGACAGUGAUUGAAUUAGGAUAAACUAAAAUUGACAGGUUGUUGUGGACGGAGGGAGUACUAACCAGCGGGCCACUGGUUCUAUCCAAAUACGCCACGGCUAAUAUGUAGAUUAUGCCGUGUUGGAAGCUCAAUCAACCUUCAAAAAUCCUGUACUUUUGCCACGACCGAGCAGAGUAGUUUUGGAACAGUAUAGCUGCUCUGCUGCUCGCCGUCACAUGCAUGCAUGCAUUCCUCCCACCGAGCAGAGUAGUUUGUGCCACGCACACAUUACAUUACAUUACAUGUAUGGGGCACGAAUGUGUAAUAAACUACUAGUCGUCGCAACCUCCCUCGCAGCUGCGACUGCUGAGCUGGAAGUCAAUCAUCCAAGCGGCCAGCAACACUGGACCUGAGCGCCGCCCUGCAGCCCUACUUGCUGCUGCUGCAUCGGCGGUAGGCGUUUUUAUUAUUACUAUUCCGGCCGGACUCGUGUUCAACACCCUCCGCCUAGCUGAGAGGCCCCACCCACGGGCGCAUCGGAAUUGGCCGGUUUCUGUUAUAAAGAAAUCCGUGGCCGCGGAUCCCGAUGUCCCUCGGGCGGCACCGGCAGCUCUAAGGGCAUGUACAGUGGGUGUUUUAAGUUGUGUCUUACAGCGUGUCUAGGGGGGUGAAUGUAAAAAAACUCAAGACACGUAUCUUGACGAAGACACCGUGUCUUAGCUCUAUGUUCGAGACAGGAGACUAGCUGAUUGGUCACUUUAAUUUAUUGAAUGUUCUGAUUGGUACAAUGAAUAUCGUAAGACACAUGUUUUAGACAUGACCACUGUAUUAUGUUGUGUUUUAGUUGUAUCUUUACUUGGAGUACCGUGCAACAGUAUCUGGGUUGUACAUGCCCUAAGGGCAUGUACAGUGGAGAGACACCAAAACGGUUCUCCAAGCACAGGAGACAACUAAGAGACUCUAUUGUACAAUGGAGUGUCUAUAAACGUAGUCUAUUAAUAAAUAUAGAAUUAAAUGUAUUUGUAUAGCAUCAAAUCGAUAGAACAGACGACAAAUUCGUACAGUGGGAAGUGAGGCGUCUGUUGUUACUUGGUUUACGAGCCAGAGGCGUCUCUUCACGGAGAGACGGCUCUAAGAUUAUUUUGCAAAUAACCCCUAAAACACCUUAAGAGCCCCCACAUUAAACACCACUGUACAUGCCCUAAUCAGGCGCGCUGACGCGCCGUGCAGCGCGGAAUAGUAUACUGGCAAGCGGAAGCGGGUGCGGCCCGCCCGGUGCCCCGCACGCGCGAGCGCGGUUCGAUCGGGCGAGGGGGAGCUGUUGCUCGUAGGCGCCGGGCGGUAAUAAACAAGGUGGUCUGCAGUGCACUGCACCGCACUGCACCGGACCGGCCGGCGCGCGCGGCCCCGCUGGCCCUGCCGGCCCUGCCGAAUGUCAACGCGGCUGAUGCAUGCAGUGCAGGCGCUGGCGGUCGUGGGACGGUGGCGCAAGUUGUUAGGCUCCUGCCGGCCUGGGGCAGCAUUUUGGUUACCUGGGGGCGCCUGCCAGUGCCAGUGCGGUUGACAACCCAUAAUUUUGCAAUGUCCAUUCCCCCCCUGAUUCUGCCCUCUGCACCUGUCUGCGGAUCACCGAUCACCGUGGUGUGCUGCGGUGCGGUGUCCAAUAACAACCAGGCCCCAGCUCAUAAGCACACGCUGCCCACGGGGACCGUACAUUGUCUCCCCACCAGGGUCACCAGAGUCGAAUUAUAGCUUCCUAGACUUAGGCCCCGUUUCAAUCUCACGGGAUAAACUUUAGCUUCCUGCUAAACUUUAGCUAUAUGAAAUGAAGCGCUAAAGUUUAGCUUUAAUUAUCACCAUUAGCUCCCCUGUUUAGAUUACAAAUGGCUAAAAGUAGCUAAAAAAAAGCUGCUAAAGUUUAUCUCGCGGGAUUGAAACAGGGCCUUAGGCCAUGGAUUGGUUUCCUGCAGAUCAUCAUAGAAUCUGCAUCUUGCAUGUUCUCCCAUGAAAUGCAUCCCACACUUGAUUCUUGAUUUUUGUCGGCGUUUGGUUUGCUAGGGAUAAUGAGAAUCCGGUUGCAAAAGCUACACGAAAUCCAAUAAAAUACGGUGAAGACUUGAUAACGUGAUAUUCUUCUUUGUUGCACUAAAACCAAGACACUUUGUGUAAUAACCUGAAUUUACAGGUAUAAAAUUUAUUUUCAAAUAUCCAUGAAAUUCAGGUGUUAACCUUUUUUUUUCUUUCUCUUCUAGUUUCCAUUUUUCUUCGUUUUCCAAAAAAAGAGAGGAGUUACUUUGGUCAAAUGUUUGUAAACCUAAAGGGGUUAUGGUUGUUGCAUCAUGCUAGAGUAUAAGCUUUUGUCUGAUGCAGUGUGUUGGUGUGCAUUCAUUCAAACUUGUAAAACACAUUUGAAUUUGAAUCCAUGAACUAAAAACAAAAUAGAAAAGAGACCUAAAUUCAAAAUAAAAAAAGAAAAGGAAAAGCAGCCCACUCCAUUUCCAUAACCGGCCUUUCGGCCCAUCUUUCUACAACACGCUCAUACCCUCCCUCUCUCUAUGACCAGUCGGUCCCGCCUACCGAAGCCUGCACCCCCUGCGCCUUACCCCUCAACCCUCUCACUACUCGUGGGCCUCGCCUAUCGGUGCCCCCCCGUUACUCGCACGCCUGCGCUGGCUCGUUCACUAGCCGGUCCCGCCUAUCAGCUCCACCCCAUUCCUCGCGUAACCGCCUCCGUUCAGCCCACACCCACAUUCUCUCUCCCCCCUCCACCAAACCACUCGCGCCUGCCCCCUUUGAAACCCUCAUCGCCCCCACUUGUCGGUGUUUUAUGUCCGACCGCGCACCCGGGGUUACCCUCGUGUUGCUUUUGGGUAGGACGGUGUCGUGGAUCGUAACUCGAUGGUUCGCGCUCGGGCACGAGAGAGAGAGAGAGAGAGAGAGAGAGAGAGGCGGAUUUCAGCAGGUUCGAGUCGCUUUGAGGAGCGUAAUACCCUCCUUCUUGGGAUCGCUUUGUAUAUGGGUGAUAUUACAGGUGGUGUCUACCGAGCUGUGGGAUGCUAAUGAGAUUAAAAUGGAGGGAGUCCCCCUUGGACUUAUAUACACGACCGUGGGGGGUUUACCACACAAAUGUUCAUCACAAUCUUCCUACUUAUCUCCUAAUUAGUAGCAAACAACUUCCACUAUUUGAAGAAGAAUCCGACGCCUCCAUGUCGAGCUAUCUCCAGCGUUUUAGGAUGUCGGGCACGAGAACCAACAUGUCCGACAUAUUCACGCCUAUCCUUGGGUCCCAUAUGUCAGUCGCUCGCGCACGCGCGCGAGCUCCCUCGCCAAAUCUAAUCUCCGUCGUCCGUCGUUAGAUCAGACUGGCCAAAGAUCCCUGACAUUCCUUCACAUUGGCAAAAUUGGAGCCUAUCAGCUUUCUAGGAAUCAACCCGUUGUCCCUGGUUUUUCACUGAAACCCCUGAAGUCUUAUGGAUGUUGCUCUUGCCUACAUGUUAGCAGCAUGUUUGACCCCUGUUUUAAUAUGUCAUUUAAACAAUAAUUUAUAAUUUGGUUUAAAGUAAAUAGACCUUUGUUCAGUAUAAUUGAUAAGUAGAAAAUUCGAGAGAAUGUCUUAAUCUUGAAACACAACAAACCUAGUGAUUGAUGACCUUAACAAGGUAACUUUAUUUGAAUAGUGUUAUUGAGAUAUAUAUUUGGCUAAUGACUAACAAAGUGGAGGAUAAUCUUGUGCAUUAAACCCAUCCAAAACAAGCAUUUCUUGCCGAAAUUAGCUUAAUUUGUGAUGGCAUUAGAGUUAUUUUUGGUGGCACUGGAAGUUUUUAACUAAAAGUAAAGAUUUUUUUGCGACUGUCAUAAAAAAAUAGUGAUGUUUGGUGACUUUAGGGCGGCCACUGGAAAUAAUCCUAACAACAUUUAUUUGGGUGGUUGGAUCUGACCACCAAAAAUAGAAGAACUAAUUUUGGCGGCCAAGCACAUUUGCCAAAAAUUACUCUUUCCGGAAUCUAGAAAUUUCCUACAAAUUCAUAUACAAAUCACAUACAUAUCUCAUAACAUAUAAAUCAUGUAUACAUAUUUCAUCACAUACAUAUUCACAUUUCACAUUCAACAUUUAACAUUCACAUUCAAUAUUUCAUCAACAACAUACCACCAUAGUCAAUAUACUCACAUUUCUUUCAUUCGUCAAUAAUAUUCAUAUUUCAUCCGUUAAACAACAUAGUAGCAUUACAUUAAUCAACAUUCUAGUAUUAUGUCAUUAAGUCAUCGACAAAGCAAGUAAACAUGUCUCAUCCAAAGAAAACUAAGUUUAUGGCCACCGAGGAUCGUUGAAGUUGUGCUCACUACCGUCUGAAGCAAAUAUGUUGUUAACAAACUCAGUAGUUCGAUCGUUCUAUAAUAAUGAACGAAGUCCACAAUUAGAAAAUAGAAUUUAUAGCUUUAUAUGUAACCCAAAUACCACUAAUGGAGGUGCAUGAAUGCAUUUGCCAUAUUAACUCAAGAUCCAUAGAAUAUACAAGUUGAAAUAGAUUAAAUAGGUACGAUUGAGUAUGUUCAACUUGAAUAGAACAAACAUAGUUUCACUAACUAAAUUUAUAAAACUGUAGAUAUAAUUUACUAAGUUCACCUAGAUUUACUAAAUAUGUCUAGAAUCUAGUACGUUAAACUUUAUUGAAUAUUGAGAAAGUACAUCGAACCUGAGCUCCACAAGAUCCCAAAGGAUGAAUUUGAGGAAACAUCGAUGGUGGCGUUAGCAGCAGCGGUGGUGGUUGUCACUAUGGCAAGACAUUUGUUUGAACAUUUUGUUGCUAUAACAUUAACUACAAAUUCAACAUGUUAGUAUUGCUAAAUGAUCGAAAUGUUAAUUAUUUAUAAAAAAUCAUAAUUACAAUAAUUCAAUUUAGUUUAUUGACAAGUGAAAUGAGCCAAAACGUCCAAAUCAAGCAGACAGAGGGAGUAGACAGUAGGGUCUUAUAGUAUACUUGGAAUUUUAAGUAAUCUACAAUUCUAUGAGUUGUGACUUUCUGUUGUUGUGGCCUAUUAUGGUUGGUUAAUAUCCUACAUGAUUUCCUAUAUGAUCUUAUAAUAUAUAUUUUGCCACCUAUAUCAUACAAAGACCAACAUUCUGAAGGAGCACGAUAAUCACACUAAUGUACAUAGUACGAGAGCAAAUGAUUUUUCUUUCAUAGCAAUGUGUACAACAUCUUCUUCCCCCUCCCCCCUCCACCUCCCUCUCCACCAUACCGAACAUCUCAUCCUCCAUGGCCACAAGUUUUGCUCCAUCCCAAUUAAUCAUGCCAUCACUAUCUGGCAUUGUUAUCCUAAACGGAUGUUUAGAGUGUUUAAAUGUCGUUUAAAUGCUACCCAGUAGCUAACGUUUAGGCCGUUUAUACUGUUUAAUCCUAUAUAAUCUGUUUUAAGUCCGUUUAAACGCCUAUGUAGUCCGAUUAAACGCUAAACAGAGGAUAAUCGAUUGUUUAUCGUUUAGGAUAGCACUGCUAUCUGGCACUGAAAGUCGCCUAGAGGGGGGUGAAUAGGGCGAAUCUGAAAUUUAUAAACUUAAGCACAACUACAAGCCGGGUUAGCGUUAGAAAUAUAAACGAGCCCGAGAGAGAGGACGCAAAACAAAUCGUGAGCGAAUAAAGAGCGAGACACGAUGAUUUGUUUUUACCGAGGUUCGGUUCUUGCAAACCUACUCCCCGUUGAGGUGGUCACAAAGACCGGGUCUCUUUCAACCCUUUCCCUCUCUCAAACGGUCACUUAGACCGAGUGAGCUUCUCUUCUCAAUUAAACGGAACACGAAGUUCCCGCAAGGACCACCACACAAUUGGUGUCUCUUGUCUUGGUUACAAUUGAGUUUGAUCACAAGAAAGAAUGAGAAAGAAAAGAAGCGAUCCAAACGCAAGAGCUCAAAUGAACACAAAUGUUACUCUCUCUAGUCACUAUUUGAUUUGGAGUGAUUCCGGACUUGGGAGAGGAUUUGAUCUCUUUGGAGUGUCUAGAAUUGAAUGCUAUAGCUCUUGUAAUGUGUUGAAGGUGGAAAACUUGGAUGCCAUUGAAUGUGGGGUGGUUGGGGUAUUUAUAGCCCCAACCACCAAAAAUGGUCGUUGGAAGGCUGCUGUCGCAUGGCGUACCGGACAGUCCGGUGCGCCAGCCACGUCAGCAGACCGUUGGGGUUCGACCGUUGGAGCUCUGACAGGUGGAGUCUCUGGGCUGUCCGGUGGUGCACCGGACAGGUCCUGUAGGCUGUCCGGUGCGCCAACUACGCGUCCUCUGUUCUCUACGCGCGCAGGUGUGCAUUAAAUGUGUUGCAGUCGACCGUUGCGUGCGAAGUAGCCGUUGCUCCGCUGGCACACCGGACAGUCCUGGUGCACCGGACAGUCCGGUGCGCCAGACCAGGGUGGCAAGUUCAGCGAUGUCUUUUGCUCUCUUUGUUUGAACCCUUUCUUGGUCUUUUUAUUGGCUUAUUGUGAACCUUUGGCACCUAUAGAACUUAUAGACUAGAGCAAACUAGUUAGUCCAAUUAUUUGUUGUAACACCUAGUUUGUAAUAUAUAAUAAAAGAGGAGAAAAGUCAUUUCCUAUAUUUUAUGUGUGUGUUGAAUCUACUUAUCAUCACAUGUGAACACCAUAUUCAAACAACAACUAAAUAAUAAAAAAGAUAUACCAUUAAAUCAUGCAUCAUGCUGGAAUUUUUAUUGUGAGUACAUUAUUUGUGAUAAUAUAAAAAAAUAAUAAUAACAUUAAAAAAAGUAUGUUAAAGUCCAAAGUGGGAUUUAAUCCUAAAGGAAAAUUCAAGAAGUAGAAAAAAAGAGAAGAGAAACUACUAAGCAAUACAAAAAAUAAAUUUAUAAAUAGAUAAAUUUAUUCCACAAUAAUUUAUUCAAUUCAUAUACUCAGAAAUUUGAGUACAAGUUUAUCACAAAUUUGAAAUUCAAAUUUAGAUUAAAAAAUAAUAAAAAGGAAAGGAAAUCAGAAAUGGUGAAAAGAAAGGAGAAAAGAGAAGUCGUGUUGGGCCUAAAGCAACCAGCGCUCGGCCCACAACCAACAUUUACCCUCCGCGUGACGCAUUAGGCUGGGAUCUGCGCCGACAUGUGGACCUGGGGGAUUAGCCUCCCGUACAUCGCUCAGCUCACUGCCAGGGCGGGCCCCACACAUCAGCCACCCACCCUCAUCAUCCGUUGCGCAGCACGCUGUGCGCUCGGUCACUUCCGCGCGGGACCACGUGGUCAGCACCUUCUUCUCCCCUGCCGCAUCGCGCGGAGGAGUAUCGCCGUGCGCGUGGAUUCCGGUGGCUCGUGCGGACCAGCCUUGACGAACCGGCCCUGCGGGUGCGCGUGGUGAUACCAUUGGCAUGCGGGCCCCACCUUGAUCACGUCCCCCCCUCUCCACCGAGCUGUACCGGCUGCAUCCGAAAUCGCCGCCGAGACCGGGGGAAACCUCCCCACCAAUUCGGGUCCGAGCAAUGCGCUCCACGCCGCCUCGCGUGUUGAUAAAAGCUUGCGCCUCGUCAUCCGCCUAUUUCGUUAGCCGUGACUUAGUCUCCGACCUCGUAAUCGUGUGGCGCCGUUGCAAACCCGCCGUGACGCCCAGCCUGCGGGGACCUUGCGCCGCUGAGACAUCUGCUCAUCGUCGGCCACAUUUGGGUCCGAGUAGGGUACCCGGAGAUUCGCCCAGCCUUGCUGUGGGUGCGUGAACCGUGGGCGAGCUGAGAGACCGGUCGUAGUGUGCCCAUACCUCUUCGCCAUGCUAUUUUUCUAAAGAGACCCUGCGCUUUACAUAUAUCAACAUGCAGUCCUGCGCCUGAAGUUUGGAGUCUUAAGGUCUUUUGCGUAGUAACCCCUGACCUUUCUGAAAAUUGAUGCCCAGUUCAAAGAUGAUUAAAAACAGAGAAAUAAUUAUAGGAAUCCGUUUUUAAUAAAAAAACAAAUCUAGAAACUUGUAAAAUGCAUAAAAAAUUCAUUUUUAAUCCAAAUCAAUUCAUUUCAAUUUAUAAAAUUUGGUAAUAUUAAUGUUUAUCAUCUAGAAUCUCUGUUUUGACAUAAAAACAGAAAGAAAAUUUAUUUCUCAUGUAAUUCCAUUUCAAGCACAUUAAACCUUUGGAAAUUCAUAUCUUAAAAUAUAUAACCCCAAAAAUUAUGAUUCCUAUUUCUAGGAUUUUAUUUUAAUGUGUAGAUUAUUAUCAUGUGUUUUGUUUACAUGUUUGGUGUGAUGUUAAUUUCCUCUAUAUAUUGUGCAUGUUUGUAUUGUGGCGAGCAGAGGAGCCUGUGACUGAGGAACCUGGUGAGCAGCAGAUAGAAGUAGCUGAGCAGGAGCUCAUUGAAGGCAAGUUGUGCCCUUGACCACUUUUGUUACCCAAUAAUGUUCUUUAUAAUCAUCUACCAUGCAUAGGUUUAAUUUUGAUGGGACCCAAUAGGUCACCCUAGAUUGUUAUUCCAUUUUACUUUGUUAUCCCUGAAUCACUUGGGUAGUUUUGCUAUUGCUUUACAUGGUUUUGGGAUAAUAUUUUAUUAUAUCCAUGUUCCAGCUAUUGUGUUAUUCUAUUUAUGUUCAUGUCAAGAUCAUUAAAUGUUAAUUGGAACAUGGAGCUUAACUUGAGAAACACGUGCCACCACAAGGGUUUAAUGGGACGCCCUUGGCCAACUAACUAGGAAAGCUAGUGGAAGACUACCUUACCCGAAAGGGGCAAGGGUAGUAGGGGAUUGCAUGCAAGGAGGCUCUCGGGUUGAUUUUGCUGCGAUGGCGGUCAGACGGGGGAUUCUUGCAAGUGCUCUUCCCAUAAACUAUAGCGGGUUUUCGGAAGCUAGUGGAACUUUGUAAAGGCCUCGUAGUGGAUCCCUAGCCAUUCACCUCGGUAGUGCCUAAGGGCCUAGCUAACCCUGGCGACACGGGAUACACGACUUGUGGGUACAGGGUACAACCUCUGCAGAGUGUAAAACUGGUAUUCUAGCCGAGCUCACGGUCAUGAGCAGCUCAGGACUCUCUGAUGAUUAAAUUAUGGAACUUAAAUUCAAUUUUGUCAUUUGCAUUGCAUGGGUUUAUUAUUAAUUUUGUUCAAUUACUUUAUUUAAGGUUUGAUAUUUACUUACAUCUAGUAACUGCUAAUAAAAUUUUGACCAACUACUUAAAAGCAACGCUCAGCUUUAACCCCUGUCAUUGAUUAGCCUUACACAUCACAUGAACUCCCACCUUUGUGAGUUCAUGUCCACUGGUUCCCCACAACUUGUUGAGCUAUGAUCAUGUGUGAGCUCACCCUUGCUGUCUCACACCCCCCCACAGAAGAAGAACAGGUGGUUCAGGAGGAGCCACAAGGCGAGGAGUUUGAUUUGAUCUAGGUGGUGUUUCUCAGUUGACAUUGGCGCCAACGACGAUCCUUAGUUCGUUUUAUAUUUAUCUUUUAUUUUGUAAUAAGACUUCCGCUAUGUAAUAAUACUCUGAUUAUUGUGACAUUUAUCUCUAUACACUCUGUUAUUGUAUAUGUUGUCUUCUUUGGCGCAUGUAUGAGAUGCACCCGGCUUUGUUCCUUAAAGCCCGGGGUGUGACAGAAGUGGUAUCAGAGGAAAUGUUGACUGUAGGACGAAACCUAGAUAGAAAUGGACAAACCCUUACCUACUUACCUUACUCUGAUUCUUUCUAUACAUAUCUUGAUCCUGUCUCACCUUUUGUUGUUCUACUCUGAUCAUUCUUACAUUUUCUACUCUGAGACAAGAUGGAUUUCAUACCUUGGAAUCCUACAUUUAUGAACUUUUUAAGAGAUAGGAGACCUAAGACAAAAAUUAAAACUAUUUUAUCGAUUAAAAAAAUAUUGGUUGAUUGUUCUGAUGAUAAAUGUCUGAUUUGCUUCUUUGAUUGAUUGAAAUAUCAUAGAUAGACAUCUUAGCAUGUACCACCAUAAGGUAAUGUAUUAGCUUUAGUAGGUGACACACUAAUCUACUUAGCUAAUAAAUCCCCCAAAGUAACAUGAUUAGUAAUUACUCGCCUUGUCUACAAUUCUUCCUUUCUUACCUUGUGUUUCUAACCUAGAUGGGCUACCCCUAUAGUGUUAGAAGAGAGCACUAUAGACGUGAUCCUUGGUAUGUCAUGGUUAAGAAAGGCAAAGGUAGUUUAUACACUAUGCUAAAAGAACCAUUGAACUCACCAGUUCCAAAGGAGAAAGAUUUGAAGUUGGAAUUGCAGUAACUACCGCCACCAGACUAGCAGCAUUCUUAGAAAAUGGGAAGUUUGUUGGUGUCAACAUCCAUGUGGUUAGAGAUUUUCCGGAUGUCUUCCUAGAAGAGUUACCAGUGAUGCCACCAUAUAGGGAAGUUGAGUUUAUCAUUGGUCCCUUACCUGGGGCUGCCCCUACUUUCAAACGGCCAUACAGGAUGUCUGUAGAAGAGUUAAAAGAACUGAAGAAGCAGUUAAUGAAAUUACAAGAGGCUGGGUACAUUCGUUCGAAUUCCUCACCUUGAGGGAGCGCCAGUUCUAUUUAUACAGAAGAAAUAUGGAUCACAAGGGAUGAGUGUGGAUUAUAGAUCUCUUAAUGAUGUUACUGUAAAGAACAAGUAUUCGUUACCCCGUAUUGAGGAUUUGUUUGAUCAGAUGAGAGGUGCAAGGGUAUUCUCGAAGAUUGAUCUCCGAUUGGGUUAUCACCAAAUGAAGAUUAGGCCAUCGGAUAUUCCCAAGACAACUUUCUCGACCCGAUAUGGGUUAUAUGAGUUCACCGUUAUGUCGUUUGGAUUAACUAAUGUACCAGCUUAUUUUAUGGAUUUGAAGAAUAAGGUGUUCAUGAGUUGGACAUAUUCGUCGUGGUUUUCAUCGACGAUAUUUUUAUUUAUUCCAAGAGUGAUAGUGAUUAUGAGGAAACAUCUGAGAUUGGUGCUACAGAAGCUACGAGAUAAUCAACUCUACACCAAGUACAGUAAAUGCGAGUUCUAGAUUGACGAGGUGUCAUUCCUUGAACAUAUCAUUUCUAAUGGAGGUAUAUUAGUGGAUCCUGCUAAAGUCAAGGAGAUAGUGGCGUGGAGCAUACCCACUACAGUUAUGGAGAUUCAGAGUUUUCUUGGGACUUGCAGAAUAUUAUCGGAGAUUUAUUGAAGGAUUUUCUAAGGUUGCUAAGCCCAUGACCUCGCUUCUGGAGAAGGGAAGAGAGUUCAAGUGGGACGAGAAGUGCCAAGAUAGCUUUGAUCAAUUAAAGAAGAGAUUAAUGUCGCCACCAGUGUUGGUUAUGCCUGAUCUGCAGAAGGGAUUUGAUAUUUAUUGUGAUGCAUGUGGCCAAGGCUUGGGAUGUGUACUUAUGCGAGAAGGACACGUGAUUGCCUACGCGUCUCGUUAGUUGCGAAAACAAGAGUUGAACUACCCCACUCAUGACUUAGAACUGGCAGUUGUUGUGCAUACGCUUAAGAUUUGGAGACAUUAUAUCAUGGGGACUAAGUGUCAAGUGUAUACGGAUCAUAAGAGUUUGAAGUAUAUAUUCACUCAGAAGGAUCUCAAUCUUAGGCAACGCCGUUGGUUGGAGCUUAUUAAGGAUUAUGAUUUGGAGAUUCACUAUCACCCGGGCAAGGCAAAUUUGGUUGCAGAUGCCUUGAGUCGAAAGGAGCAUGUUCAUUCAGCUGUUGUUGCCCAGCUACCCGAUGAGAUUGUUGAGGAUUUCAGGAGACUUAACCUGGGGAUAGUUGCUCACAAUGAAGGAGUUACUAUUGAUGUGGAACCUACCUUGGAACAAAAGAUCCACAAAGGACAAAUUGGUGAUGCUAAGAUACAAGAGAUCAAGGAUCUUAUUACUGAAGGUCGAGGUCCGGAAUUCACGGAAGAUGAGCAAGGCACCAUAUGGUUUAAGGACAUGAUAUGUGUUCCUGAUAUUGAAAGCCUUCGUGAGACUAUUUUAAAGGAGGCCCAUGACUCGGAUUAUUCUAUUCAUCUUGGUAGUACCAAGAUGUAUCAGGAUUUGAAGCAAAAAAAUACUGGUGGUAUGGAUUGAAGAGAGAUGUAGUGCACAUGUGGCUAUGUGCGAUGUGUGUCAAAGAGUUAAGGCUGAACACCAGAGGCCAACUGGACUACUGCAUCCAAUAAAGAUACCCGAGUGGGAGUGGGAAGAGAUUGAUAUGGACUUCAUUACUGGAUUGCCUCGCAUCUCGAAAGGAUAUGAUUCUAUAUGGGUUAUUGUGGAUGGACUGACCAAAGUUGCUCAUUUCAUUCCGGUCAAGACUACUUAUAAGGGAUCUCAAUUGGCAGAGUAUAUGUGGCUCGGAUUGUGUCUCUACACGGUGUACCGAAGAAGAUCGUUUUGGAUAGAGGAUCACAGUUUACCUCCAGAUUUUGGAAAAGUUUUCAUGAGAAUAUGGAUUCGAAGUUGAAUUUUGGUUCGGCCUACCAUUCUCAGACUGAUGGAUAGACUAAAAGGACUAAUCAAGUAUUAGAGGACAUGUUGAGAGCUUGUGCCCUUCAACAUGGUAGUAGUUGGGACAAGAGUCUACCUUAUGUUGAGUUCUCAUAUAAUAAUAGUUACCAGGCCAGUCUAAAAGAUGUCACCGUUUGAGGCUCUAUAUGGCAGAAAGUGCAUGACUCCUCUAUAUUGGGAUCAGACUGGAGAAAGACAGUUCUUUGGGCCCGAACUGAUUCAAGAAGCAGAGGGACAAGUCCGUAUAAUUCGAGAGAAUUUGAGGGUGGCUCAAACCAGGCAAAAGAGCUAUGCUGAUAAUAUAAGGAGACCACUGGAGUUUGAGGAAGAUGAUCAUGUGUACCUCAAGGUGUCAUCACUUCGUGGAAUGAGGAGAUUCAAGGUUAAGGGCAAAUUGUCCCCUCGCUAUAUUGGACCAUUCAGAUUUUUUAGGGCAAGUUGGAGAGAUGUCCUAUCAACUCGAGCUACAUGAUAAUGUAUCUGAUGUGCGUAAUGUAUUCCAUGUGUCUCAACUUAAGAAGUGUCUCCGUGUCCCGAGGAACAGUUACCAAUGGAAGAGCUCAGUGUUCAGGGUGGUUUGAUUUACACGGAGUACCCUAUCAAGAUUCUUAACACUUUGGCUCGAGUUACAAGAAAUAAGGUGAUAAAUAUGUGCAAAGCGCAAUGGAGUCACCAUGGAGAAGAUGAAGCGACAUGGGAAAGAGAAGAGCUUCGCAUAGAUUUUCCUCAUCUUUUCCCUAGUGCUUCCUAAAUCUCGAGGACGAGAUUAUUUUAAGGGGGGUAGGAUUUGUAACACCUAGUUUGUAAUAUAUAAUAAAAGAGGAGAAAAGGCAUUUCCUAUAUUUUAUGUGUGUGUUGAAUCUACUUAUCAUCACAUGUGAACACCAUAUUCAAACAACAACUAUAUAAUAAAAAGAUAUACCAUUAAAUCAUGCAUCAUGCUGGAAUUUUUAUUGUGAGUGCAUUAUUUGUGAUAAUAUAAAAAAAUAAUAAUAACAUAAAAAAAGUAUGUUAAAGUCCAAAGUGGGAUUUAAUCCUAAAGGAAAAUUCAAGAAGUAGAAAAAAGAGAAGAAGAGAAACUACUAAGCAAUACAAAAAUAAAUUUAUAAAUAGAUAAAUUUAUUCCACAAUAAUUUAUUCAAUUCAUAUACUCAGAAAUUUGAGUACAAGUUCAUCACAAAUUUGAAAUUCAAAUUUAGAUUCAAAAAUAAUAAAAAGGAAAGGAAAUCAGAAAUGGUGAAAAGAAAGGAAAAAAGAGAAGUCGUGUUGGGCCUAAAGCAACCAGCGCUCGGCCCACAACCAACAUUUACCCUCCGCGUGACCCAUUAGGCUGGGAUCUGCGCCGACAUGUGGACCCAGGGGAUCAGCCUCCCGUACAUCGCUCAGCUCACUGCCAGGGCGGGCCCCACACAUCAGCCACCCACCCUCAUCGUCCGUUGCGCAGCACGCUGUGCGCUCGGUCACUUCUGCGCGAGACCACGUGGUCAGCACCUUCUUCUUCCCUGCCGCAUCGCGCGGAGGAGUAUCGCCGUGCGCGUGGAUUCCGGCGGCUCGUGCGGACCAGCCUUGACGAACCUGCUGCGGGUGCGCGUGGUUAUACCAUUGGCAUGCGAGCCCCACCUUGACCACAUCCCCCCCUCUCCACCGAGCUGUACCGGCUGCAUCCGAAAUCGCCACCGAGACUGGGGGAAACCUCCCCACCAAUUCGGGUCCGAGCAAUGAGCUCCACGCCGCCUCGCGUGUUGAUAAAAGCUUGCGCCUUGUCAUCCGCCUAUUUCGUUAGCCGCGACUUAGUCUCCGACCUCGUAAUCGUGUGGCGUCGUUGCAAACCCGCUGUGACGCCCAGCCUGCGGGGACCUUGCGCCGCUGAGACAUCUGCUCAUCGUCGGCCACAUUUGGGUCCGAGUAGGGUACUCGGAGAUUCGCCCAGCCUUGCUGUGGGUGCGUGAACCGUGGGCGAGCUGAGAGACCGGUCGUAGUGUGCCCAUACCUCUUAGCCAUGCUAUUUUUCUAAAGAGACCCUGCGCUAUACAUAUAUCAACCCGCAGUCCUGCGCCUGAAGUUUGGAGUCUUAAGGUCUUUUGCGUAGUAACUCCUGACCUUUCUGAAAAUUGAUGCCCAUUUCAGAGAUGAUUAAAAACAGAGAAAUAAUUAUAGGAAUCCGUUUUUAAUAAAAAACAAAUCUAGAAACUUGUAAAAUGCAUAGAAAAUUUAUUUUUAAUCCAAAUCGAUCCAUUUCAAUUUAUAAAAUUUGGUAAUAUUAAUGUCUAUCAUCUAGAAUCUCUGUUUUGACAUGAAAACAGAAAGAAAACUUAUUUCUCAUGUAAUUCCAUUUCAAGCACAUUAAACCUUUGGAAAUUCAUAUCUGAAAAUAUAUAACUCCAAAAAUUAUGAUUCCUAUUUCUAGGAUUUUAUUUUAAUGUGUAGAUUAUUAUCAUGUGUUUUGUUUACAUGUUUGGUGUGAUGUUAAUUUCCUCUAUAUAUUGUGCCUGUUUGUAUUGUGGCGAGUAGAGGAGCCUGUGACUGAGGAACCUGGUGAGCAGCAAAUAGAAGUAGCUGAGCAGGAGCUCAUUGAAGGCAAGUUGUGCCCUUGACCACUUUUGUUACCCAAUAAUGUUCUUUAUAAUCAUCUACCAUGCAUAGGUUUAAUUUUGAUGGGACCCAAUAGGUCACCCUAGAUUGUUAUUCCAUUUUACCUUGUUAUCCCUGAAUCACUUGGGUAGUUUUGCUAUUGCUUUACAUGGUUUUGGGAUAAUAUUUUAUUAUAUCCAUGUUCCAGUUAUUGUGUUAUUCUAUUUAUGUUCAUGUCAAGAUCAUUAAAUGUUAAUUGGAACAUGAAGCUUAACUUGAGAAACACGUGCCACCACAAGGGUUUAAUGGGAUGCCCUUGGCCAACUAACUAGGAAAGCUAGUGGAAGACUACCUUAUCCGAAAGGGGCAAGGGUAGUAGGGGAUUGCAUGCAAGGAGGUUCUCGGAUUGAUUUUGCUGCGAUGGCGGUCAGACGGGGGAUUCUUGCAAGUGCUCUUCCCAUAAACUGUAGCGGGUUUUCGGAAGCUAGUGGAACUUUGUAAAGGCCUCGUAGUGGAUCCCUAGCCAUUCACCUCGGUAGUGUAUAAGGGCCUAGCUAACCCUGGCGACAUGGGAUACACGACUUGUGGGUACAGGGUACAACCUCUGCAGAGUGUAAAACUGGUAUUCUAGCCGAGCUCACGGUCAUGAGCAGCUUAGGACUCUCUGAUGAUUAAUUAUGGAACUUAAAUUCAAUUUUGUCAUUUGCAUUGCAUGAGUUUAUUAUUAAUUUUGUUCAAUUACUUUAUUUAAGGUUUGAUAUUUACUUACAUCUAGUAACUGCUAAUAAAAUUUUGACCAACUACUUAAAAGCAACGCUCAGCUUUAACCCCUGUCAUUGAUUAGCCUUACACAUCACAUGAACUCCCACCUUUGUGAGUUCAUGUCCACUGGUUCCCCACAACUUGUGUAGCUAUGAUCAUGCGUGAGCUCACCCUUGCUAUCUCACACCCCCCACAGGAGAAGAACAGGUGGUUCGGGAGGAGCCACAAGGCGAGGAGUUUGAUUUGAUCUAGGUGGUGUUUCUCAGUUGACAUUGGCGCCAACGACGAUCCUUAGUUCGUUUUAUAUUUAUCUUUUAUUUUGUAAUAAGACUUCCGCUAUGUAAUAAUACUCUGAUUAUUGUGACAUUUAUCUCUAUACACUCUGUUAUUGUAUAUGUUGUCUUCUUUGGCGCAUGUAUGAGAUGCACCCGACUAAUUGUUCCUUAGUGUUAAUAUAUGCAAUCUCGAUAUCUCCCUUUUGUUGGUGAUCCCUUAAGAAAUGAUACCGAAUGGCUAUGUGUUUAGUGCGACUAUGCUCAACGGGAUUAUCCACCAUGCGGAUUGCACUCUCAUUAUCACAUAGAAGAGGAACUUUGGUUAAUUUGUAACCAUAGUCCCUAAGGGUUUGCCUCAUCCAAAGCAAUUGCGCGCAACAAUGGCCUGCGGCAAUAUACUCGGCUUCGGCAGUAGAAAGAGCUACAGAAUUUCGCUUUUUGAAGCCCAUGACACCAGAGACCUUCCCAAGAACUGGCAAGUCCCUGAUGUGCUCUUUCUAUUAAUUUUACACCCCGCCCAAUCGGCAUCCGAAUAACCAAUCAAAUCAAAUGUGGACCCCCGAGGGUACCAAAGCUCAAACUUAGGAAUAUGAACUAGAUAUCUCAAGAUUCGUUUUACGGCCGUAAGGUGAGCUUCCUUAGGGUCGGCUUGGAAUCUUGCACACAUGCAUACGGAAAGCAUAAUAUCCGGUCGAGAUGCACAUAGAUAGAGUAAAGAGCCUAUCAUCGACCGAUAUACCUUUUGAUCUACGGAUUUACCUCCCGUGUCGAGGUCAAGAUGCCCAUUGGUUCCCAUGGGUGUCUUGAUGGGCUUGGCAUCCUUCAUACCAAACUUGUUUAGAAUGUCUUGAAUAUACUUCGUUUGGCUAAUGAAGGUGCCUUCUUGGAGUUGCUUCACUUGAAAUCCCAAGAAGUACUUCAACUCCCCCAUCAUAGACAUCUCGAAUUUCUGUGUCAUGAUCCUACUAAAUUCCUCUCAUGUAGAUUCGUUAGUAGACCCAAAUAUAAUAUCAUCAACAUAAAUUUGGCAUACGAACAAAUCAUUGUCAAGAGGUUUAGUAAAUAAAGUAGGAUCGGCCUUUCCGACUUUGAAACCAUUAGUGAUAAGGAAAUCUCUUAGGCAUUCAAACCAUGCUCUUGGGGCUUGCUUGAGCCCAUAAAGCGCCUUAGAGAGUUUGUAAACAUGGUUAGGAUACUCACUAUCUUCAAAGCCGGGAGGUUGCUCAACAUAGACCUCCUCCUUGAUUGGUCCAUUGAGGAAGCCACUUUUCACGUCCAUUUGGUAAAGCUUAAAGCCAUGGUAAGUAGCAUAGGCAAGUAAAAUGCGAAUUGAUUCUAGCCUAGCUACGGGUGCAUAGGUUUCACCAAAGUCCAAACCUUCGACUUGUGAAUAUCCCUUGGCCACAAGUCGGGCUUUGUUCCUUGUCACCACACCAUGCUCAUCUUGCUUGUUGCGGAAGACCCACUUGGUUCCUACAACAUUUUGGUUAGGACGUGGAACUAAAUGCCAUACCUCAUUCCUAGUGAAAUUGUUGAGCUCCUCUUGCAUCGCCACCACCCAAUCCAAAUCUUGAAGUGCUUCCUCUACCCUAUGUGGCUCAAUAGAGGAAACAAAAGAGUAAUGUUCACAAAAAUGAGCAACACGAGAUCGAGUAGUUACCCCCUUUUGAACAUCGCCGAGGAUGGUGUUCACGGGGUGAUCUCGUUGAAUUGCUUGGUGGACUCUUGGGUGUGGCGGUCUUGGAACUUGUUCAUCUUCCUCAUCUUGAUCAUGGACAUCUCCCCCUUGAUCAUUGCUCUCCUUUGAGGUGGCUCAACUUCUUGAUUUUCUCCUUCAUCAUUUUGAGCAUCAUCCUCAUCUUGGGUUGGUGGAGAUGUUUGCAUGGAGGAAGAUGGUUGAUCUUGUGCAUUUGGAGGCUCUUCGGAUUCCUUAGGAUACACAUCCCCAAUGGACAUGUUCCUUAGCGCGACACACGGAGCCUCUUCAUCACCUAUCUCAUCAAGAUCAACUUGCUCUACUUGAGAGCCGUUAGUCUCAUCAAACACAAUGUCACAAGAAACUUCAACUUGUCCAGAGGACUUGUUAAAGACUCUAUAUGCCCUUGUGUUUGAAUCAUAUCCUAAUAAAAAGCCUUCUACAGCCUUAGGAGCAAAUUUGGAUUUUCUACCUCUUUUAACAAGAAUAAAGCAUUUGCUACCAAAGACUCUAAAAUAUGAAACAUUGGACUUUUUAUCGGUUAGGAGUUCGUAUGAUGUUUUCUUGAGGAUUCGGUGUAGAUACAACCGGUUGAUGGCAUAGCAGGCGGUGUUGACCGCCUCCGCCCAAAACCGAUCCGAAGUCUUGUACUCAUCAAGCAUGGUUCUUGCCAUGUCCAAUAGAGUUCUAUUCUUCCUCUCCACUACACCAUUUUGCUGUGGGGUGUAGGGAGAAGAGAACUCAUGCUUGAUGCCCUCCUCCUCAAGGAAGCCUUCGAUUUUAGAGUUCUUGAACUCCGUCCCGUUGUCGCUUCUUAUUUUCUUGAUCCUUAAGCCGAACUCGUUUUGAGCCCGUCUCAAGAAUCCCUUUAAGGUCUCUUGGGUAUGAGAUUUUUCCUGCAAAAAGAACACCCAAGUGAAGCGAGAAUAAUCAUCCACAAUAACUAGACAGUACUUACUCCCGCCGAUGCUUAUGUAAGAUAUCGGGCCGAAUAGGUCCAUGUGUAGGAGCUCGAGUGGCCUGUCAGUCGUCAUGAUGUUCUUGUGUGGAUGAUGAACACCAACUUGCUUCCCUGCCUGACAUGCGCUACAAAUCAUGUCUAACACUCCCUUAAAUGCUACUGAAUCAUCACUUCUUCUGAAGACAGUAACACCUACAUCUGUAAAAAGACAGUUGUAGCCCAUUUUACAUAAUUGCGAAACUGAAAGCAAGUUGUAAUCUAAGGAAUCUACAAGAAAAACAUUGGAAAUGGAGUGGUCAGGAGAUAUAGCAAUUUUACCCAAUCCUUUGACCAAACCUUGGUUUCCAUCCCUGAAUGUGAUCGCUCUUUGGGGAUCUUAGUUUUUCUCAUAGGAGGAGAACAUUUUCUUCUCCCCUGUCAUAUGGUUUGUGCACCCGCUAUCGAUGAUCCAACUUGAGCCCCCGGAUGCAUAAACCUAGAAAACAAUUUUAGUUCUUGAUUUUAGGUACCCAAACGAUUUUGGGUCUUUUGGCAUUAGAUACAAGAACUUUUGGUACCCAAACACAAGUUUUGGUGCCCUUGUGUUUGUCCCCAACAUACUUGGCAACUACCUUGCCUGAUUUGUUGGUUAGCACAUAAGACGCAUCAAAAGUUUUAAAUGAAAUGUUAUGAUUGUUUGAUGCACUAGGAGUUUUCUUUUUAGGCAAUUUUGCACGAGUUGAUUGCCUAGAACUAGAUGUCUCACCCUUAUACAUAAAAGCAUGAUUAGGGCCAGAGUGAGACUUCCUAGAAUGAAUUCUCCUAAUUUUGCUCUCGGGAUAACCGGCAGGGUACAAAAUGUAACCCUCGUUAUCCUGAGGCAUGGGAGCCUUGCCCUUAACAAAGUUUGACAAUCUUUUAGGAGGGGCAUUAAGUUUGACAUUGUCUCCCUUUUGGAAGCCAAUGCUAUCCUUGAUGCCAGGGCGUCUCCCACUAUAGAGCAUGCUUCUAGCAAAUUUAAAAUUUUCAUUUUCUAAGUCAUGCUCGGCGAUUUUAGCAUCUAAUUUUGCUAUAUGAUCAUUUUGUUGUUUAAUUAAGGCCAUAUGAUCAUGAAUAGCAUCAAUGUUAAUAUCUCUACAUCUAGUACAAAUAGUAACAUGCUCAAUGGUAGAUGUAGAGGGUUUGCAAGAAUUAAGUUCAACAAUCUUAGCACGCAAAAUAUCAUUGUUAUCUCUAAGAUCGAAAAUGGAAGCAUUGCAAACAUCUAAUUCUUUAGCCUUAGCAAUUAAUUUUUUGUUGUCAAUCUUAAGGCUAGCAAGAGAAACAUUUAAUUCUUCAAUCUUAGCAAGUAAUUUAACAGUAUCAUCUCUAAGAUUGGGAAUUGAAGCAUCACAAACAUUUGAAUCAACCUUAGCAAUUAAACUAGCAUUCUCAUUUCUAAGGUUGACAAUAGUAUCAUGGCAAGUGCGUAGCUCACUAGAUAAUUUUUCACAUUUUUCUAUUUCUAGAGCAUAAGCAUUUUUAACCUUAACAUGCUUCUUAUUUUCCUUAAUUAGGAAGUCCUCUUGGGUGUCCAAGAGUUCAUACUUCUCAUGAAUAGCACUAAUUAAUUCAUUUAAUUUUUCUUUUUGUUGCAUGUUUAGGUUGGCAAAAAGGAUGCGCAAGUUAUCCUCCUCAUUUUCACUAGAAUUAUCUUCAUCACUAGAGGAAGCAUAUUUAGUGGAGGAUCUUGAUUUUACCUUCUUCCUUUUGUUGUCCUUUGCCAUGAGGCACUUGUGGCCGACGUUGGGGAAGAGGAGGCCCUUGGUGACGGCGAUGUUUGCGGCGUCCUCGUCGGAGGAGGAGACGGAGGAGCUCUCUUCGGAGUCCCACUCGCGACACACAUGGGCAUCGCCGCCCUUCUUCUUGUAAUACCUUUUCUUUUCUCUCCUCUUGCCCUUCUUGUCGUCGCCCCUGUCACUGUCACUAGAUAGUGGACAUUUAGCAAUGAAAUGAUCGGGCUUACCACAUUUGUAGCACACUUUCUUGGAGCGGGGCUUGUAAUCCUUCCCCUCCUUUGCUUGAGGAUUUGGAGGAAGCUCUUGAUGAUGAGCGCCAUCUCCUCGUUGUCGAGCUUAGAGGCGUCGAUGGGUUGUCUACUUGAUGUAGACUCCUCCUUUUUCUCCUCCGUUGCCUUGAAUGCAACCGGUUGCGCUUCGGGCGCGGAGGGGCCAUCUAGCUCGAUGAUUCUCUUUGAGCCUUUGAUCAUCAAUUCAAAGCUCACAAAAUUCCCUAUUACUUCCUUGGGAGACAUUAGUGUAUAUCUAGGAUUUCCUCGAAUUAAUUGAACUUGUGUAGGAUUAAGAAAAACGAGGGAUCUUAGAAUAACCUUGACCAUUUUAUGGUCAUCCCAUUUUGUGCUCCCGAGGUUGCGCAUUUGGUUCACCAAGGUCUUCAAGAGGUUGUACAUGUCUUGUGGCUCCUCCCCUUGGCGAAGCCGGAAGCGAUCGAGCUUUCCCUCGAUCGUCUCCCGCUUGGUGAUUUUGGUCACCUCAUCUCCUUCGUGCGCGGUCUUGAGUACGUCCCAAAUCUCCUUGGCGCUCUUUAGUCCUUGCACCUUGUUAUACUCCUCUCGACUUAGAGAGGCGAGGAAUAUAGUGGUGGCUUGUGAGUUGAAGUGUCGGAUUUGGGCGACCUCAUCCGAAUCAUAGUCUUCAUCCCCCGGAGAUGGUACCUGUACUCCAAUCUCAACAACAUCCCAAAUGCUAGUGUGGAGUGAGCUUAGAUGAUGCCUCAUUUGAUCACUCCACAUAUUAUAAUCUUUACCAUCAAACAUAGGUGGUUUUCCUAAUGGGACGGAAAGUAAUGGAGUACGUUUUGGAAUGCGAGGGUAGCGUAGAGGAAUCUUACUAAACUUCUUGCGCUCAUGGCGCUUAGAAGUUACAGACGGCGUGUCGGAGCUGGAGGUGGAUGGCGACGAAGAAUCGGUCUCGUAGUAGACCACCUUCCUCAUCUUCUUCUUCUUGUCAUCGCUCCGACGCGUCUUGUUGUGUGAAGGGGAUCCCUUCACCUUGUUGGCGGACUCCCCGGAUGGAGCCUUCCCAUGGCUUGUGGCGGGCUUCUCGCCGGUCCCGAACUCCCUCUUGGCGGAUGCUCCCGACAUCACUUCGAGCGGUUAGGCUCUAAUGAAGCACUGGGCUCUGAUACCAAUUGAAAGUCGCCUAGAGGGGGGGUGAAUAGGGCAAAUCUGAAAUUUAUAAACUUAAGCACAACUACAAGCCGGGUUAGCGUUAGAAAUAUAAACGAGUCCAAGAGAGAGGGUGCAAAACAAAUCGUGAGCGAAUAAAGAGCGAGACACGAUGAUUUGUUUUACCGAGGUUCGGUUCUUGCAAACCUACUCCCCGUUGAGGUGGUCACAAAGACUGGGUCUCUUUCAACCCUUUCCCUCUCUCAAACGGUCACUUAGACCGAGUGAGCUUCUCUUCUCAAUUAAACGGAACACGAAGUUCCCACAAGGACCACCACACAAUUGGUGUCUCUUGCCUUGGUUACAAUUGAGUUUGAUCACAAGAAAGAAUGAGAAAGAAAAGAAGCGAUCCAAGCGCAAGAGCUCAAAUGAACACAAAUGUUACUCUCUCUAGUCACUAUUUGAUUUGGAGUGAUUCCGGACUUGGGAGAGGAUUUGAUCUCUUUGGAGUGUCUAGAAUUGAAUGCCUUGGGGCUAUAAAAGGGACCCCUAGGCGCAUGGAGGAAGAUACAAAGCACACUUUGAGCAUUCUUGAUCAUUCAUACUUCGUCCUUGCGUACUCGUUUGACAUUCUUAGUGAUUUGAGCUCCGUUCUAGUGAGAACUUUGAGAUAUUCAUUUGAGCUCAAGUCUUGGUCGUGUGUGUGUGCGUAUUGCUGUGGACUUGUGUGUGUUGCUCAUCCCAUCCUUACUUCCGUGUUCAUUUGUGAUCAUCUUUUAUAAGGGUGAGAGACUCCAAAUUGUGGAGAUUCCUCGCAAAUGGGAUAUAGUGAAAGGAAAAGAAAUACCGUGGUAUUCAAGUGGAUCCUUGGAUCACUUGAGAGGGGUUGAUUGCAACCCUCGUCCAUUGGGACGCCACAACGUGGAGUAGGCAAGUGUUGAACUUGGCCGAACCACGGGAUAAACCAUUGUGCCUCUCUGUGUUGAUAUCCUUGUGGUUAUUGUGUUUUGCAAGAACUCCUUUCUAGCCAUUUGGCUUUAUUGCUCUAACACUUAAUCAAGUUUGUGGCAUUAAGUUUUAAGUUUUUACAGGAUCACCUAUUCACCCCCCCUCUAGGUGCUCUCAAUUGGUAUCAGAGCCAUUCUCUUCAAGAAAGGGACUAAUCACCAGAAGAGAUGGAUCCUAAGGGAAAGGGGAUGGUGGUCAACAAUAAUGAGAAGGAGUCCAUCUUCAACGAGCCAAGGGACGACAAAGUGAGAGCACCUAGAGGGGGGUGAAUAGGUGAUCCUGUAAAAACUGAAACUUAAUGCCAAAAACUUGAUUAGGAGUUAGCACAAUAAAGCCAAGUGGCUAGAGAGGAGUUCUUGCAAGACACGAUAACCACAAGAAGAUCAACACAGAUAGGCACAGUGGUUUAUCCCGUGGUUCGGCCAAGUCCAACACUUGCCUACUCCACGUUGUGGCGUCCCAACAGACGAGGGUUGCAAUCAACCCCUCUCAAGCGGUCCAAAGACCCACUUGAAUACCACGGUGUUUUGCUUUGUUUACUAUAUCCCGCUUGCGAGGAAUCUCCACAACUUGGAGCCUCUCGCCCUUACAAUUUGGUGUUCACAAAGAAGCACGGAAGUAAGGCUAGGAUGAGCAACGCACACAAGACACAAAAUCAGAGCACAAUACGCACACAAGUCACAACUCGAGCUCACAACACAACCCAAAUAGUUCUCUACUCAAAUGGAGCUCUAAUUGCUAUCACAAAGAAACGAAUGCGCAGAAUUGGAGUCUUGGUGCUUAGGAAUGCUUAGAGAAUGCUUGGUGUACUCCUCCAUGUGCCUAGGGGUCCCUUUUAUAGCCUCAAGGCAGCUAGGAGCCGUUGAGAGUAUUCCAGGAAGGCAAAUCUUGCCUUCUGUCGACUGGCGCACCGGACAGUAUGGUGCACCACCGGACACUGUCCGGUGCGGAUUUCUUUCCUGUUUUGGCGCAGCCGAUCGUUGAAGAUCCAGAGCCGUUGGCGCACCGGACACUGUCCGGUGCACACCGGACAGUCCGGUGCCCCCUUCUGACCGUUGGCUCUGCCACGCGUCGCGCGCGGAUUACGCAGCGGACCGUUGGCCCGGCCGACUGUUGGCUCACCGAACAGUCCGGUGCACCACCGGACAGUCCGGUGAUUUAUAGCCGUACACCGACGAAACCCGAGAGCAGCCAAUUCGCCAGAGCCAGCCUGGCGCACCGGACACUGUCCGGUGCACCCAGAUUGCGCAGAGUCUUGGCUGCUGAGCCAAGUCUUUUCCAAAUUGGUAUUUUCCUGUUUCUAGCACUUAGACACAAUACAUUAGUCUCCAAAACAAUGUACUAAGUCUUAGAAACAUACCUUUACUCUUGAUUUGCACUUCUAAAGUCUUUGGCACAAAUAUUACUCAAAGCAUUUGUGUGGAGCACUUAAUCACCAAAAUCUUAUAGAAAUGUCCCAAGGGUACAUUUCCCUUUCAAUCUCCCCCUUUUUGGUGAUUAAUGUCAACACAACAAAAGGCAACUAAAAGAAGUGCAACAUCAAUGCAAAUAAGAACACAAAUUUGUUUUGAAUCAAAUUUGGCAUAUUUGGAUCAUUCUUUGCCACCACUUGGUUUUGUUUUUGCAAAUCAACCUCAAUUUCCUAUCUCUAAGUCAAACAUACUUGUUGAGACAUAAAGAGAGUUGUUCCAAGAGAAAUUGAUCAAAGAUUUCAAAAACUCCCCCUUUUCCCCAUAAUCAACCAUUCUCCCCUCAAGAGGCCAACUUUUGACAAAAGAGAUAAUAAGAGAUUUUUUGACAAACCAAAAGCUCUAUUCUACUAUUUUCAAAAUUCUCAAGGGGUAGCUGAUCCAUUUGUUGCUUUGGCCUUAUUUUCUCCCCCUUUGGCAUCAAGCACCAAAACAGGAUCAAUCUUGGCCCUUAAACCCCAUUGCCUCACCAAAAUCUUCAAUCAAGAGUAAAAAGGCAAUAAGAGCAUGAAUAUGAACUUGGAGUUAGUUACUCUUUCAUCGGAGUGCAGUGGAAGUCUUUCAUGGUCCAAGUCCAACUUUCCCUUUCAAACCUCCUUUGAGACUAAAUUAAGACAACUCGUUGGGGAAGAGGGACGACUUGUUGAAGGCCGAGGCGGUGAGUCCUUCGUUGUCGGAGUCGGACGAUGAACAAUCCGAGUCCCACUCCUUGCCAAGGUGUGCCUCGCCCUUAGCCUUCUUGUAAGGCUUCUUCUUUUCCCUCUUCUUCUCUUGUUCCUGGUCACUAUCAUUAUAGGGACAAUUAGCGAUAAAAUGACCAAUCUUACCACAAUUGAAGCAUGAGCGCUUCCCCUUCGUCUUGUUCUUGUUGGGAUGCUCCUUGCGACCCUUUAGUGUUGUCUUGAAUCGCUUGAUGAUGAGGGCCAUUUCUUCUUCGUUAAGCCCGGCCGCCUCAACUUGCGCCACCUUGCUCCUCGUUGCUUUGAGAGCCACGGUUUGAGGCUCGUGGAUUGGGCCAUUCAACGCAUCAUCGACGUAUCUUGCCUCCUUGAUCAUCAUCCGUCUGCUUACGAACUUUCCAAGUAUUUCUUCGGGCGACAUCUUGGUGUACCUGGGAUUUUCACGAAUAUUGUUUACAAGAUGUGGAUCAAGGACAGUGAAGGACCUUAGCAUUAGGCGGAUGACGUCGUGAUCCGUCCAUCGCGUGCUUCCAUAGCUUCUUAUUUUGUUGACGAGGGUCUUGAGCCGGUUGUAUGUUUGGGUUGGCUCUUCUCCCCUGAUCAUUGCGAAUCUCCCAAGUUCGCCCUCCACCAACUCCAUCUUGGUGAGCAUGGUGACAUCGUUUCCCUCAUGUGAGAUCUUGAGGGUGUCCCAAAUCUGCUUGGCGUUAUCCAAGCCGCUCGCUUUAUGAUAUUCAUCCCUGCACAAAGAGGCUAACAACACAGUAGUAGCUUGUGCAUUUUUAUGAAUUUGUUCAUUAAUAAACAAAGGACUAUCCGUACUAUCAAAUUGCAUUCCACUCUCUACUAUCUCCCAUAUGCUUGGAUGGAGAGAGAACAAGUGACUACGCAUUUUGUGACUCCAAAAUCUGUAGUCCUCUCCAUCAAAGUGAGGAGGUUUACCAAGUGGAAUGGAGAGUAAAUGAGCAUUUGAACUUUGCGGAAUACGAGAAUAAUCAAAAGAAAAGUUUGAAUUGACCGUUUUCUUUUUCUCGUAGUUGUCGUCGUCCUUUUGGGAAGAAGAGGACUCGUCGCUGUCGUCAUAGUAGACGAUCUCCUUGAUGCGCCUUGUUUUCUUCUUAUUCCAGUCUUUUCUUUUGUGGCUCGAGCCCAAGUCAGUAGGCUUGUCAUCUUUUGGAUCAUUGACGAAGGACUCCUUCUCCUUAUCAUUGACCACCAUCCCCUUGCCUUUAGGAUCCAUCCCUUCGGGCGAUUAGUCCCUUAAGUGAAGAGAACGGCUCUGAUACCAAUUGAGAGCACCUAGAGUGGGGGUGAAUAGGUGAUCCUGUAAAAACUGAAACUUAAUGCCACAAAACUUGAUUAGGAGUUAGCACAAUAAAGCCAAGUGGCUAGAGAGGAGUUCUUGCAAGACACGAUAACCACAAGAAGAUCAACACAGAUAGGCACAGUGGUUUAUCCCGUGGUUCGGCCAAGUCCAACACUUGCCUACUCCAUGUUGUGUCGUCCCAACGGACGAGGGUUGCAAUCAACCCCUCUCAAGCGGUCCAAAGACCCACUUGAAUACCACAUUGUUUUGCUUUGUUUACUAUAUCCCGCUUGCGAGGAAUCUCCACAACUUGGAGCCUCUCGCCCUUACAAUUUGAUGUUCACAAAGAAGCACGGAAGUAAGGCUGGGAUGAGCAACGCACACAAGACACAAAAUCAGAGCACAAUACGCACACAAGUCACAACUCGAGCUCACAACACAACCCAAAUAGUUCUCUACUCAAAUGGAGCUCUAAUUGCUAUCACAAAGAAACGAAUGCGCGGAAUUGGAGUCUUGGUGCUUAGGAAUGCUUAGAGAAUGCUUGGUGUACUCAUCCAUGCGCCUAGGGGUCCCUUUUAUAGCCCCAAGGCAGCUAGGAGCCGUUGAGAGCAUUCCAGGAAGGCAAUUCUUGCCUUCUGUCGACUGGCGCACCGGACAGUCCGGUGCACCACCAGACACUGUCCGGUGCGGAUUUCUUUCCUGUUUUGGCGCAGCCGACCGUUGAAGAUCCAGAGCUGUUGGCGCACCGGACACUGUCCGGUGCACACCAGACAGUCCGGUGCCCCUUCUGACCGUUGGCUCUGCCAUGCGUUGCGCGCGGAUUACGCGGCCGACCGUUGGCACUGCCGACUGUUGGCUCACCGGACAGUCCGGUGCACCACCAGACAGUCCGGUGAUUUAUAGCCGUACGCUGCCGACGAAACCCGAGAGCAGCCAGUUCGCCAGAGCCAGCCUGGCGCACCGGACACUGUCCGGUGCACCACCGGACACUGUCCGGUGCACCCAGACUACGCGGAGUCUUGGCUGCUCAGCCAAGUCUUUUCCAAGUUGGUCUUUUCCUGUUUCUAGCACUUAGACACAAUACAUUAGUCUCCAAAACAAUGUACUAAGUCUUAGAAACAUACCUUUACUCUUGAUUUGCACUUCUUAAGUCUUUGGCACAAAUAUUACUCAAAGCAUUUGUGUGGAGCACUUAAUCACCAAAAUCUUAUAGAAAUGUCCCAAGGGUACAUUUCCCUUUCACAAAGUCAAUGACUCUAGCUCGAGUCAAAAGAAGAAAGACGGAAAGAAGAAGAGGCGCAUCAGGAAGGUUGUCUACUACAACAACGACGAAUCUUCCUCUUCUCAAAAGGACGACGAAUACGAGGAGAAAAAGAAAACGGUUAACUCGAACUUUUCUUUUGAUUACUCUCGUAUUCCGCAUAAUUCCAAUUCUCACUUGCUUUCUAUUCCACUUGGUAAACCUCCACACUUUGAUGGAGAGGACUACGGAUUCUGGAGUCACAAAAUGCGUAGACAUUUGUUCUCUCUUCAUCCAAGUAUAUGGGAGAUAGUAGAAAACGGAAUGCAAUUUGAUAGUUCGGAUAAUUCUAUGUUUAUCAAUGAACAAAUCCAUAAGAAUGCACAAGCUACUACUGUUCUUCUAGCAUCCUUGUGCAGGGAAGAAUACAAUAAGGUGAGCGGCUUGGACAAUGCCAAGCAGAUCUGGGACACCCUCAAGAUCUCACAUGAGGGGAACGACGUCACCAUGCUCACCAAGAUGGAGUUGGUGGAAGGCGAACUAGGAAGGUUCGCAAUGAUCAGGGGGAGGAGCCAACCCAAACGUACAACAGGCUCAAGACCCUCGUCAACAAAAUAAGGAGCUAUGGAAGCACGCGAUGGACAGACCACGACGUCGUCCGACUUAUGCUAAGGUCUUUCACCAUCCUUGAUCCUCAUCUUGUUAACUCUAUUUGUGAGAAUCCUAGGUACACCAAGAUGACGCCCGAGGAAAUACUUGGAAAGUUUGUAAGCGUGCGGAUGAUGAUCAAGGAGGCAAGAUAUGUUGAUGAUGCGUUGAAUGGCCCAAUCCACGAGCCUCAAACCGUUGCUCUCAAAGCAACGAGGAGCAGGGAGGCGCUACCUAGCAAGGUGGCGCAAGUUGAGGCGGCCGGGCUUAACGGGGAAGAAAUGGCCCUCAUCAUCAAGCGUUUCAAGACGGCGCUCAAAGGUCGCAAGGAGCAUCCCAACAAAAGCAAGACGAAGGGAAAGCGCUCCUGCUUCAAGUGUGGUAAGGUUGGUCAUUUUAUUGCUAAUUGUCCCGAUAAUGAUAGUGACCAGGAUCAAGAAAAGAAGAGGGAAACGAAGAAGACCUACAAGAAGGCUAAGGGCGAGGCACACCUUGGCAAGGAGUGGGACUCGGAUUGUUCAUCGUCCGACUCCGACGACGAAGGACUCGCCGCCUCGGCCUUCAACAAAUCGUCCCUCUUCCCCAACGAGCAUCACACAUGCCUCAUGGCAAAGGAGAAGAAGGUAAGAACUCGAAAUAAUACUACGUAUGCUUCUUCAAGUGAUGAUGAAUCUAGUGAUGAUGAAAUAGACUAUGCAUGUUUAUUCAAAGGGUUAGAUAGAACUAAAAUUGAUAAGAUCAAUGAAUUGAUUGAUGCUUUGAAUGAAAAGAAUAGACUUUUAGAAAAGCAAGAAGAUCUUUUAUAUGAAGAGCAUGAUAAAUUUGUAAGUGCGCAAAAUUCUCUUGCUUUAGAAAUUAAAAGAAAUGAAGUGCUUUCAUGUGAAUUGUCUACAUGCCAUGAAUCCAUUUCUAGCUUAAAGAGUAUCAAUGAUGACUUGAAUGCUAAGUUAGAAAUAGCUAAUAAAUCAACCUCUUGUGAAGAACAUUUUGUGAUCUGCAAUAAGUGUAAGGAUUUUAAUGUUGAUGCUUGUAGUAAACACCUAGUUGCCAUUUCUAAAUUAAAUGAUGAGGUGACUAGUCUUAAUGCUCAACUUAAGACUAGCAAAAAUGAAUUUGAUAAAUUAAAAUUUGCAAGGGAUGCCUACACGAUUGGUAGACACCCCUCAAUUAAGGAUGGGCUUGGCUUUACACUACAACACACCUUACCUUCUAUGACAUUCACCUUGUGUCAUUGAUAAGUGAAUAUAUGUCAUAUUUUGAAAUCUAUGACGCAUGUGUGACGUUUUUUGGUUCGUCAUGUAUGUGACGUGGCUAAACAUGUUCUAUGACGAUUUGAAGUUUUUCUGUCAUUAAAAUUGUGACAAUUAUACUUCGUCAUAGAUUUUAUGACAUUUGCAUAUUGUCAUUACGCCAAACAAGAACGUCACUAAUAAUCAGCUAGAGGCUUGCCAUGUGGACCAAAUUUUGUCAUAAAAUCAUGCGUACUAGUGAUGUGGAGCUGAUGUGGCAAAUGCUUAUGACGUUUAUCAAUAUGACAUGUCGCUUUUCAAUGACGAACUUCGUUGUCAUAAUUUAUAAAAUGGCUCGUCCUAGUGCUACGCCAAAAUUGUGGCCUCAUUAAAUCUAAUUUGUAAUUUUCUAUUAAUACAAUUUUAUAUUAGCAAAAUCUAUAGCCUAUUUUUUGAACAAUCACAUUCAAAUGUACAGAUGUUCGCAUGUCUUAUUUCACAAAAUGUACAUAUCAAAAGACCAAAAUGAUAGGAAACACAAUUUGUAAUUCAUAGGUCACAAUACGUCUUAUAAGAAGCAACAAUGUUCAACACAACUUGGAGCUACUAGUAACAAAAAUCAACAAACUUGGACCUACUUAGUUGUACAUGUAAACAACUAGCAACCAACUAUUGAUAAAACUAGACAUAGUUCAACUAACACUACAAGAAAUUGAUAAAUGUUCGUGGGUAAACUUAAGAACGUGGGUACCGACGUUCUUACUUGAGUUAAGUUCAUGGGUUAUGUUAAAAACGUGAGUACCGACGUUUUUAAGUUAAGUUCGUGGGCCCUGGCUAAAACCGUCGAGCUUAACGAGUUAGGAACGUGGGUAUUCACGUUCUUAAGUUAAGUUCGUCGGGCACGUGGACACCGUCGAACUUAAUCCUAAAAACCUAAAUCUAAUCGCACGCGCGACUCUCUCUCUCACCUGUCUCAUUCCCGCCCACGCGCUUCUAUCUCUCACCAGCAGACCGCGCCGCCGCCGCGCCACCGCUCUCCGGAUCAUCGGCCGUCCACCUCCUCCUCCUCCUCGCCCGCUCACCGGCCGUCCCUGCUGCGGUGCCGUCCACUUCCUCUCCCUGCCGCCGUAGCUCGCACAACCCCCAUCUCGCCCUCUUCCUUCUUGCCACACCGUCGCUACCACCGCCCCGCGCUGAGAGGGACCGACGCCAUGGACCUCCUCGAGAAGAUGAUGGCGCUUGGUAUGACGUGGUGUCUCGGUAGCAUUUGCCGGCUCAUCACUUUGCCAUCUGUGCACCUGCUUGAUUAGAUGUCCACCUAGGGUUUUGGGUCUAGUGCGGAAACAGGUGCCCACGCGGGGUACGGCGCGGAGGAGGACGACGAGGUGGGGUACGGCGGCGGGGGCGGGGAAGAGAUGGAUGAGGAUGCGGACGGGGACGCUGAGCAGCAGGAGGAUAUCACUCAGGACGACGCCUGGGCCGUCAUAUCCGCCUACUUCGAGGAGAAGGGCCUCGUGCGCCAGCAGCUCGAUUCCUUCGACGAGUUCAUCCAGAACACCAUGCAGGAGAUUGUUGAUGAGUCCGCCGACAUCGAGAUCCGCCCCGAGUCGUAGCACAACCCUGGCCGCCAGGCCGAAUUUGCCGAGGUUGUUGCCCCACUCUGAUCGAUUGUUACAAGUGAUGCCUGAAUGGUUCACUAUUUGCUGCUGCUAGACUGGGCGAUUAGCCUGGGGUGCUGGGGGAGCUUGGUAUGACGUGGUGUCUCGGUAGCAUUUGCCGACUCAUCACUUUGCCAUCUGUGCACCUGCUUGAUUAGAUGUCCACCUAGGGUUUUGGGUCUAGUGCGGAAACAGGUGCCCAAUUUUAUGGCUGAGGAUGAAUUUUGCACCGACAUAGGUGGACAGGGGAUUGUGGAAUUGUUCAGUUCUACUAGUGUCUAGAAUAGCUUCUGCUGAAGUUCCCUCUGUGUGAUAUAUGGUAGGGAAUUCUUGAGUUUGACAAGGAUAGCAUAAAAGAUUCCAGAGUGAGUUUUGUAUUGAUCAGGACAUUUGUAGUGAUCUUCAGUUGGUACUAGUAAUAUAUGGAGUUGAUCUUAUGAUGAAGAUAGCACGUCUCAUGUUUCGUGGGUUUUGAACCACCUGUACUUUAUUUUCUUGAGCUGUGUGGUGUGAUGUGAUUUGCAAAUAAUGAAUAAUGCAAGUAGAAGUGCUUGCUAAGGAAAAACACAAUUCUCAGAUUAACAUUGAAAAUUUCUGUGAAAUCAAUCAUUAAUGGCUAACCACUUGUGAUAAACAAAUAAGUCUCAAGAUCUUUUUGAAUUCUCUUGAACAAGUCAUGUAAGACAUGAAUUGGAUUUACGAAUGUUCAUCAGAAGUAAGCACCAGUAAAUACAUAACAUAUUUGUGCUUCUCUAGAAACUGAAGAGAACUAAACAUGUUCCCUUUCCUUAGUAAGUGUGCAAGAUUAUGAAUUGAAACUUGUAUUAAAAUGUUGAAGCUCUACACUGAUAUCUUUUGAUAGUGUCUGAAUUCAGCAGUCGCCUUCACUAAUAUAUGUGGGGUCACAAUGCAAUCUGAUGUUUGGGUCAUUCUAAUCCUUGGCAAUCUGCAAUUCCUAGUAAUAUAUCAUGCCAUCCUAGUCUAUAUGUGAAAAUAUCCUUGGAGACGAAAACAACAUAUACCAAAGCCUGUAGCAUACCAACACAAAUUUUAUAAAUAGUUAUUUUUUUGGUGCUAUGAUGUUUCAGCGGAACUCGAAAUAUCUUACGAUUUAUCAUUUUGCCUUUGUUCUUUUGUCCUUUGACUUAUAUUUCCCAUUAUAUUCUUCAUUAGACUCUGCACAGGAUCAGCUUUGGUCAAAUCUAUCUCAGCAAGCCAAUGAUGACUGAAGCCGAUGGAGAGACAGCUACUUUAUUUCCAAAAUCAGCAAGGCUCAGGAACUUGACAUACUCUGCACCACUGUAUGUUGAUGUGUCAUACAGAGUAAUGAAGAAAGGACAUGACUGUGAGGAAGUUACAGAGACUGCAGAGUAUCCAAAAGUGUUUAUUGGGAAGGUGCUGUACUUAACUUAUGAAUAAUUUUUUCUCAAUUUAUCGUUUUUUCUUCAACCCUCUAAUACUCUGCAGGUUCCAAUCAUGUUGCGCUCUAGUUACUGCACACUGUAUCAAUAAUCUGAGAAGGAUCUCACUGAACUUGGGGAGUGUCCUUAUGACCAAGGUGGUUAUUUCAUUAUCAAUGGAAGCGAAAAGGUUCUUAUUGCCCAGGAGAAGAUGAGCACUAACCAUGUCUAUGUUUUUAAGAAGAGGCAUCCUAAUAAAUUUGCAUAUGUGGCUGAAGUCCGUUCCAUGGCUGAGAACCAGAACAGACCAGCCAGCGGCAUGUUUGUACGGAUGCUUUCACGAGCAGGAGCAAAAGGGGUUAGUGACUUAUAAGUUUUCAAAAAUAGUUUUCAAUGCAUAUGCCUGCUUCUUACUUGUACAAUUCAGGGGGUGUAGUACCACAGUGAGGCAAACUGACUUUAUAAAAUGUUAAAUCUGUGAUAUGUUCCUUAUACUGCAGGGAUCAUCUGGUCAAUAUAUCCGUGCUACUCUACCUUAUAUUCGUCGAACUUACCGUAAGAACCUAGGGGACAAACUGCACUUAUUAAUGUUAGUGACAAAACCUGAAGCAUCUCCAAAAAUCCACAGAAUUUAUGGCUUCAAACAUCCUUGCUCUAUUUUUAGGCGUACCGUCUAGCAUUGGCAGCACUAAUCACCUGAGAACUUCUUCAUGACAUUCUUUCUUUGUCUCACUUCUAGCGGAGUAACAUUCUGCUAUGUUUCUUAUGUAAAAAAGCCCCCUUUUUAUAACAGGAAUGAUUUUUUGUGUUUUAGAAAAUGGUAAAGAACAAUUGGCUUGUCUGUCGUGUACUGGAUACGUACUUCGAGAUCAGAAUUCACAAAAAACAACAGUCAAAUCUGUUACACAUAGUUGUACUCAUCAUGGAGAUGUGAAGGAAAUCCCUUAUAUGGUAGGAAAGAUGCAGACUGUUUAAGAAGAUUAUAGGAAUAUAUAUAGCAAAAUCAUUAUCUUGAUUACCCACUUUUAUUGAUUGGCUGAUUGCUUUUUCAAGAUGCAGAUAUUUCUCAAUUAAGUUUAUAUACAAUGUAGUAUUUUUAUUUUAUUUUUUGUAGUGCGUUGGAGAAGACAUUGAUGAUUUGCAGUACACACCUAAACCCGAAUUUGAGGGGUAUUUUAGAGUUAAGAAUGUUCAAACUGAGGUAUCAGGAACUAUCGUUAUAUUGUUUAGCAUAAUAUCAACCGUAUGCAUCAUACUUAUUUUGCUAUAACCCCUUUAUUUUUGUUGUCUAUAGUUGGAUCUACUUAAAGCAUGGUUUUCUCACAUGCAAGAGGUUAAGGGGGUGUUUGGUUUCUAGGGACUAAUGUUUAGUCCCUACAUUUUAUUCCAUUUUUGUUCCAAAAUUGCUAAAUAUAGAAACUAAAUCUUUAUUUUAGUUUCUAUAUUUAGCAAUUUAUAUACUAAAAAGGAAUAAAGUGAAGGGACUAAACAUUAGUCCCUAGAAACCAAACACCCCCUAAGCCUGACAUUUAUGUUACAUACAACGAUGACUUUUUUGACUGGCCAUUUUUAGAGAAGAGGGCUGCACACCAUGGAAUAAAAAUGAAUGAGGUGCGUUGUUGAUUUAAUUCACUUUAGGUUUUAUUAGGAAGAAUGGGUAAUUUGGUUAUUAUAAUCUUGUAUCGUGGAAGCACUUUUAGAAAAAUAUGAUCUCCUUUAAGCUAAGCUGCAGCAGUAUAAAAAAACUCGGUUGGGGAGGGAAUGACCGCCCUCCCGGUAUAAUAAUAAGAAGGACCUGAACCACUGGUCCCGGCCAAGAACACCAGCGAACCCUAGCCCCCAAUCACUAACCGGCCGAUUACAACUGCUCACUCUGCAAGGAAAAUAAACAAGGGCAAGCUAUUCUUUAGUACUGUUCUAUGUGAAACAUGUUUUUGCUCUGCAUUUAUUUCUCACCUAGAGCAGAUUGAAUAAGACUUAGAAAUGGCAAAGUUGAUGACCGUUUCAUAUCUACUUCAUUUGUAUUUUUAUUGUUUCAGGAGAUUGGUUUCCAAUGUGACAAUAACCAGGGCGAGUGUCGGGCUAAAUUUUCUUGCCAUCUUGACUGUUUUGCUUGGGUGAAGCGAGACAGUUACCUUCCACAAGGAAGCCAAGGUCUAAAGGUGAUGCAUUACUUACAAACAAAAAUACAAAACUAACUUCAGGGUUUGAUGUUAUUCAUUUUUUAUGGAGUGCUUGGUUUUGUUUCUAAAUGUGUUAAUAAAACUACAUAUUUACAAUAGUACAAAACAAAUUUUUAGUGAUACGGUGUGGAGUAUACAAUCAAUAUGCAUAAUUUUAGCAAUUUUUUUAUUCCACGAGCACAACAAGGGCAUGUUAUUUAACUAUAUUUCAUUUCUCUUGUUACAUUAGCACACUUGCAGGCUGUUACAAAAGCCAAGCUACGUUACGAUCCUCUGGAGGUUAAUCCAGAAGAUAUGGUUCGCUUUGCAAUGGAGCAGCCACAGGUACCAAAAGUUUUCCUUUUUUUCUUAUCCUGAAGUGACGUUAUCUCCAAUGGAUUUUGUGUUUAGUUUUAUGGAUUGUACUCGUCUUAAUUUGAAAGAUUUGCCUGAGUUCAUUUUCACCCCAUUGUUUCUUUUUCAGACAAUGGCUUCGUAUUCUGUAUCAGACGAUGUUGCAACAUACUAUCUAUACAUGACUUAUGUCCAUCCUUUCAUCUUUUCUCUUGCAACCAUAAUACCUAUGUUACCUGAUGAGGUACUGUGGAAAGGAAGUGGGACACUUUGUGAAAUUCUGCUAAUGGUUCAGGUAUGUUUAGUGAAUAUUUUCUGCCAUGUUUCAAUAACAUAUGCAUCUUGAAGCAAUACCUUCAUCUAGAUCCAGAUGUUUUAUAUGAAACUCUCAAGUACUUGAGCUGUCAAAUUAUGCUGAAGUAGACCUUUUUCCUUUUGCUCUUCUGUUUUUUGAUGUAAAAUUGGCGAUGGUUUUAUUUUUAUGCCAUGCUUUUCCUUCCUGCUCAAGUUCUAAGUAUAUCAUCUGACUUUUUUGUUAUCUUAAGUUGCACCACAGACAGUUUAUGUGUUACAUAAAGCUUGUUUGCUUCUCAAGAGGAUGUAAAAUACACAUUUUCAGGAAAAGUCAUGUGGUUUUUUCCCACUCUUGCUUCAUUGCUUGUUCUUGGAUUUGAGCCCAUGUCAAGGGCUUGAACGCCCAAUUUCCAUACUAUGAAUAGUGCAUCUUUUCCAAUCUACCUCUGAUUACUCAUGCUUGCUGAAUUUAGUUUCUUUUAAUGUAUAGGCAUUCAAGGCUGGAGGCACAUAACUAUGAAUAGUGCAUCUUCUAAAAUCUCUCACUAAAUCAGCCAGCUCUUCUCACUAAAUCAGCCAGCUCUUCUGCUUGUCCCAUUGUCAUCCAGGUACUUAUUUGGGAUGUAUGUUCAGAUCUUGUGAUGCUGUUUAAUUCUUGCGAGGCAUAAUGUGUUGCAGUUGGAAUGAUGUCAACCUUUUUCCCAUUGUCAUCCAGAUACUUAUUUGGGAUGUUGAAGUACAACCAAAUAGACAUGCUGUCCUAGGAGCAAGCGAGUCUCGCCCUGAUCUGGUAUGAUUCAUUGUUUUGUUCAGUGUGCCAGAUUUAUGGCUUCAAUGAGAUGUUGGUGCUAGCUCAUCUGUUAAGUGAUGAUAGAUAACAGUAUGUCUACAUGUUGCUCUAGCACGAUUACUGGGGGUCUAGGAAUAUUUGCAACAUUGUUUCCAAGCUGGAUAGCCACAUGUCAGUACUUAGCUGAAGAUAUGCUGAUGGUAUUCAUUUCCUAGGGCAGCUAGUAACACUUUCCUGUUAUUCCAUUUGAAUAGAAUUUCCUACUAAUGCCAAUUCGCUCCCGUGAAUUUCAGGAAUGGGUUUACAAGCCCCAUAUAAUAAAUCAUAACAGUGCGGGAGCAUUUUUUGGAUGUCCUUCACACAGAUGCAGGCAAUGAAAGAAACAGAAAAUAGACAAUGUUAGCGCGGAGUGAGACAGAUAGGAAUUGGGAUAGAAUCAUCCUUGUUCUCAGAUCAGCUGUACAUUCUUUAUUAUGGUAGUAUAUCAUACCUGUACGAGUAGACUGACGGUUGCUUCCAAAUACUCCAUGUGUUUGAAAUAUGUAUUGUAUGUGAUAUUCUGUGUUGCAUGUGAUUUUAUGUUUGUCUAAUUUUUUAUUUCUGUAUUUUUUAUUUUUUUUUCUGAAAAAGGGAUAAGAACGUGGGUACCCACGUUCUUAAUGUUAAGAACGUGGGUACCGUCAAACAUAAUGUGCAGUCCACGUAGACCCACGCAGGCCAGAUAAGUUCGACGGCCACGUGGCCCCGUCGAACUUAACAAUAAGAACGUGGGUACCGUCGAACUUAUGAGAACAAAUUCGAUGGCCUCCGUCGAACUUAAUAACGCACGUUCUUAUUGUUAAGUUCGACGGUACCCAUGUUCUUAUUGUUAAGUUCGACGGUACCCACGUUCUUAACCUUAAGAACGUGGGGGCCAUCGAACUUACUUCUUUAAGUUCGUCCAAAAAUCGCCGUCGGCUAUAUUCGUCGGUAAACCCACGUUCUUAUGGUAAGUUCGACGGCCUAUUACAUUAAGUUCGACGGUUUUUCACCCACGUUCUUUAACCAGUUUUUUGUAGUGUAAAAACCAAAUUUCAGAACAGAAACAUCCUACAAUAGUUCACUGUUGGUGGCUUAGUAACUUUAUGACCCUGGAUUGUGUUGACCCUGGUUGAAGCUCAAUAGUUGGCGAAGGAGACCAUGCAUUUCUUGUGAUGUCUUCUUUAAACCCUCUAUUUCCUCAGAAUGUUUUACCCUUGACGUUUCUGAUUCCAUCUUCAAAUUAUCCAACUCUUGUCGAAGUUCUUUUUUUUCUUGCUUCUCAUUCUCAAGCUCAACCUGAAGAUCGUGGACCUAUAAAUAAACAUAACAUAUUACUUCAUAUCUAGACAUGCACAUAUAGAGAAAUAAGAACAAGAACAUAAUUAAUUGUAGCUACUUUCAGCUAGUUGUGCUGCUAGUCAAGAAUGGAAUAUGAUCUGCUAGUUGUGCAAAAAAAGGGCAAUCAAAAUAGUUUUAAAUUUUCUAGAUACUGUCAGCAUUAAUUCUAGCUACUUUCAGUUGCUCUUGUGUGUACAAUUGUACAGUAAUGGUAUAGUAACGUAUGAGAGUAGAUAGCAGCAACCUAGAACCAUUUAUUCGUCACCUAAUACCCUUAUCGUUGUCCAUGUACAGUACUUAGUACAACAUAAUAAGUAGUGGCAGCAGCCGCAGCCACUAAUUCUCGCAGUCAAACAAGAUGUUCUCUAUGUCAAACCCUUUAGAAAAAGUACAUGUUGCAUGUACAAAUGAUCCAAAGAAAGAAGGGAACAUGACUGGUAUGUGAAACACUUGUACCUGUGAUGAUAUUGCACCUCUAGAGGUACUCUUGGAGGCUGAACAAACACCUGCAACACGAAGAAAAGUAGUUGAUUUGACAACCUGAGAAACAGCUUCUUUUGCUGACUUUGGUUCCUGUCCAUCUUGUACUGGUUCACUCAUAAUGCCUUCCAUAUCAUCCUAGCAAAAUGACAAUAGUAGAUGUUUCUUACAUGGUAUUAUUGAUGUAUACUUUAUGUAGAGAAGGAAUAAAAGUAAACAAUCACUUACAAUUGCUUUCUGUACAGACUCGGUAAAUCCAUUUUUUUGCCACAAUGGAAGUUCUUGAAUAGAUCAAUUGAGGUGGGCUCUACAUCUUUGAAUAUAUCUUUCUUCUAAAAUAAUUGCAAACAGUAACGAGCUAUUACCUUGAAACAAGAACAUGGUCUCAAGAAUAGUGAUCAUACACAUUAUUGUUUCAUUUCUUACCACAACAUGGGCCUGUGCAAUGUAGCAUCGAGAUCCAGUGCGCUGAUGUAACCGGACAUUCUCUCGAUUUAGUUGGUUUUUGGUACACUUUUCCUGCAUAUGAUACAUGAGUGACAUGACACAAGAAAGUAUCUGGAUAAUAUAAAAGAUUCAAUGCAAGAUAGCAUGAAUGCAACAAGAUGAGAUGUUGCGUCUUCAAGAAAACAUUGAUAAUAAACAGUUGUAUUGCUUAUCGGGGAAGCUCUUAAACAUUUAAGAAUGGCACCGUAUACUGUGUAAAACGAACUUCUGUGCUAACCUGCUAAAACGUGUUGAGGGCCUUUAGAUCCAUAAUCAAAGGAUAACCUUAAUCCAACCUCAUAAUCUAGGCUUUUUUUCCAAAGAACCCCUCCUCCCGUUGUUCUCCGCCUGCUGCCAGCGGGCGGCACCGCCGUUCUCCGCCGCCCCACAACGAUUUUCCCCGUUGAUCCCCUCAGGAAACGUGAAUCUGUCGAUUGCUGCCGGCCCACAACGAUCUUCUCUGGCACCUAUCAUGGUCGACGCCAACCCACCCAAAUCAUCUCGGUGCGCUGCCACUGUCGACACCGACCUGCCUCGAUCUUCUCCAGUGCCUGCUGGUCUAACGAGUCCUUCGCCACCUGCUGUUGUUCUCUCUAUCCCCAGCCCUUCGAUCCCGGCCACAUUGAGCUCAACUCCAUGGAUCCUGCACAUCUCAUUUCAUCCUUUGGAACACCACUCUGUUUGGGUUUAGAUAACAGAGUUCAGCAGCACUCAAGCAUUCUGUUUGGGUUUACAUAGCAGAGUUUAGAUUAACAGCGUUCAACAUUCUGUUAAGUGCACCACCACCACUCCAUCAGCAACAUCGAAGAAAACCAAAGCAACAGCAAGUAGUAUCAGCGGCGUGUAUCAGUAGGAGCACUGAAGAAAAUGGUUUUGUUCUGGCAGCAGGGGGCGAUGGGUCUAUUUGGCUGAUUGUUUGUGUGGAAGUGCUGGUGGCUGGCCUGGCAUCUUCUAGGUGACGAUGAGCAGGGAGCCACAGGACUGUUUGGCCUCGAAGGAGAAAAUGUUUUGGUGGAUAGCAAAAUAGGAGAAAGUAGUGGUUCUUUAGAAGAAAAAGUUGAAUAUGACGUAGAACAAAAGAUUUUCAGUUCUGAUGAGAGAGCUGUAUAUGAAGAAGCCCUGAAGCAUAUCACUCAGGAAACGAAGGAGGAAGAUCUGCCCAAAGGUGGUAUGUCAGUUUUACUGCUUAAGCAUCAGAAAAUAGCAUUGGCGUGGAUGCUUUCGAAAGAGAAUUGUUCACAUUGUCGAGGUGGAAUUUUGGCAGAUGAUCAGGGUGUUGGGAAGACAAUUUCAACGAUUGCCCUUAUACAGAAGGAGAUGGUUAAGCAGUCUAGGUUCAUGACUGCUGGUUCAUACAGUACAAAGUUUGUCCCAAACAGUGAUUAUGACAAUGGCAGUGAUGUUGUGAUUAGCAUGGACAAGAAAGAACCGAAAGAUGAACCCUUGAAUGAGCUAGAUGGUUCUGCACGAUUGCAUGUCGCCAGCAGUCUUAAGCUCUGUGAUAGUAAGCCAAACACUGCUACUGAUAAAGUUGAACCUAAGAAGAAGGCUAGAGUGAGGGACUCUGCAUCAAACUUGAGGUCGAAGACUAGACCAGCUGCAGGAACAGUGGUCGUCUGCCCUGCUAGUGUUCUUAGGCAGUGGGCUAAUGAGCUCUCUGUGAAGGUUAUGGAAGACAAUAAAUUGUCAGUCUUGGUUUAUCAUGGAAGUUCAAGGACUAGAGAUCCUAAUGAGUUGGCAACAUAUGAUGUUGUUGUCACCACGUAUAUGACUGUGGCAAAUGAAGUACCUAAAGAAAAUUCUAAUGAUGAGCGAAAGAAAUGUGAAAUGGCCACUGGCUGAGUGUCUGAGGCUAUGAACAUAAAGCGUUAAUAGAUCAAAUUCAGCUAGCAACAAUACUCAAGCUUGUUAAAUUUAUAUUGACUGAAAAGAAUAAAUGAACACCCAGGAACCAACCAAUAUUGGUAUGGUGUCCACAAUUAACAUUAGAAGCUCAAAGGAAAUAUGUAACAAAUUCCAGCAUCACUAACUGACUAUGUUCAAAAGGAGAAUGUAGCAUACCUUAUCUAAUUAUUUUAAACAUAUUAUAAUUUAAUUGGCAUACCUUGUGCUUUGCGUCUGACCACAUCUCCACCAAUGCUUUCCAUUGAUCGUCUGUCAUAUGUUUAACUGGCGAUGUGGUCCUCACUUGAUUUGCUGGUAUACCAUUGAAAUAUUUUUUUUCAGCUGGUACCUCAUCUGUCGUUGUCCACCCUUGAGCAAAUCGGCACAUGCGGCUUUGAUUGCAUUAUUGUUGGUGUCCAUGGUGAAUUGGGCCUAGUAAAGAGCAUAAAUGGUAGAAUUUCAAAAAUGCAAAAAAGUUGAAUGAUAUUUGAAUGGAGUAACAUUGAAUGAUUGAAUUUCACUUACAGCAACUUUGCCGAUAUAGUUUGUAACAAUUGACUUAUCCUUCUUGUACUCUUUCCAAUGCCGGAGGAUGGGCAUUUGUUGCCUAAGUAUAAUCCCGCCCUCUGAUGCAAGUUUGGCAGCUUGCAUAGGUGCUUCUGGCCGUAUCUUUCCUUCAGCAAUGUGUAUGGGGAUGUUAGUGCAUAAACCUCUACUUAUCCUAUCCAGUUCUCUGCCCAUACUUCUAUUCCUUUUUCCAUUUGGAUCUAUGGUUGCCUCAAGUGCACCUAAUGAAAUCAUAUAAAUUGGUUAGUGUCAAUCUAUAAGUUGUUGUUUGCAACACACAAUCAGGUUAUGUAUAUAAUGAAGCCAGAAUAAUUGUAAUCAUGGAAUUGUAAAGAUGAUAUUGCUAAUCUAGCCAGAAGGACAUUAAUCAUGGAAUUGUGAUGCUUAAUGGUUUGUUACAAAUGGAAAAGUUAUCUCCAGUUUUGAGCCACACUCAUUAUUAUGUUUACUGAUUACCAGAGUAAUAGGACACAUGAUAGUAUGUAACUAAUCAUUGUAUGAAAACAAAAUGAAAAUAGAUUGCAUUGCACAAAUUAGAUAGAAUCACUUGCCUUGAUCACUAGAGUUGUUCUGGUCCUGUUGAGGGGUGGAUGUGAUAGUAGAGAUGCCUAAGGUUUCUACUUGUUGCAGUUCUGGACCGAAAGUUAAUGCCAAAUCCCUUGUAUUCUGCCUAGUAAAUCUUGUAGGUUCAUCUUGUUGCGCAGGUGCUGUCGGGGACCAUAAUUAGGGGUACCCUCAAGACGCCUAAUUCUCAGCUGGUAACCCCCAUCAGCAUAAAGCUGCAAAGGCCUGAUGGGUACGAUUAAGUCAGGGAUCAGUCCACACGAGUGACUCGAUCACGCUUCACCCGGGCCUAGCCUCGGCCAAGGGCAGCCGACCUCGAGAGACUUCCGUCUCGCCCGAGGCCCCCCUUUUUACGGCGGACACAUCACCGGCUCGCCCGAGGCCUUGGCUUCGCUCAGAAGCGACCCUGACUAAAUCGCCACACCGACUGACCGAGUUGCAGGAGCAUUUAACGCAAAGAGUGAGUCAGACAGACAGUCAGGCCUUGCCAAAGGCGCCACGGCGAACUCCGCUCCGCCCGACCCCAGGGCUCGGACUCGGGCCAAGACCCGGAAGACGGCGAACUCCGCUCCGCCCGACCCCAGGGCUCGGACUCGGGCUAAGACCCGGAAGACGGCGAACUCCGCUCCGCCCGACCCCAGGGCUCGGACUCGGGCUGAGACCCGGAAGACGGCGAACUCCGCUCCGCCCGACCCCAGGGCUCGGACUCGGGCUAAGACCCGGAAGACGGCGAACUCUGCUCCGCCCGACCCCAGGGCUCGGACUCGGGCUAAGACCCGGAAGACGGCGAACUCCGCUCCGCCCGACCCCAGGGCUCGGACUCGGGCUAAGACCCGGAAGACGACGAAACUCCGCCUCGCCCGACCCCAGGGCUCGGACUCCGCCCUGGCCUCGGCCAAACGACCUCCGCUUCGCCCGACCCCAUGGCUCGGACUCAGCCUCGGCAACAGAAGACAGACUCAACCUCAGCUUCGGAGGAGCCCCCACGUCACCCCGCCUAGGGCACAGACCCGCCACGUCAACAGGAAGCGUCAUCAUCGUCCUACCCUGAAUCGACUCGGGUCACGGAGAACAAGACCGGCGUCCCAUCCGGCCAGCUCCGCCGGAUGGGCAAUGAUGGCGCUCCACAAGCUCUGUGACGACGACGGCCCCCAGCUCUCUUACGGAAGCAGGGCGACGUCAGCAAGGACUCGACCGCUCCAACAGCUGUCCCUCCGCCAGGCUCCGUCGCACCUCCGACAGCCACGACAUCACGCCAGCAAGGUGCCAAGACCUCUCCGGCUGCCACAUUGGCAUGUACCUAGGGCGCUAGCUCUCUCUCCGCUAGACACGUAGCACUCUGCUACACCCCCCAUUGUACACCUGGAUCCUCUCCUUACGACUAUAAAAGGGAGGACCAGGGCCUUCUUAGAGAAGGUUGGCCGCGCGGGACCGAGGACGGGACAGGCGCUCUCUUGGGGCCGCUCGCUUCCCUCACCCGCGUGGACGCUUGUAACCCCCCUACUGCAAGCGCACCCGCCCUGGGCGCGGGACGAACACGAAGGCCGCGGGACUUCCACCUCUCUCACGCUCGACUCCGGCCACCUCGCCUCUCCCCCCUUCGCGCUCGCCCACGCGCUCGACCCAUCUGGGCUGGGGCACGCAGCACACUCACUCGUCGGCUUUGGGACCCCCCUGUCUCAAAACGCCGACAGUUGGCGCGCCAGGUAGGGGCCUGCUGCGUGCUGACGAACAGCUCCCCGUCAAGCUCCAGAUGGGCAAUCUCCAGCAACCUCUCCGGCCCGGGGCGGUGCUUCGUUUCGGGACUCUUGAGUUCAUGUCCUUCGACGGCAGCUACGACAUGAUACUUCUUCCACCGCCGCGCGACAACGACAAUGGCGGCCGACAACCCGCUCGUCGGCGGCGGAAUCGACGACACCUUCCCCGCGUGGUGGAAGAACAACAUUCGAGCUCGCUCCGUUCUCUCCCCCGCCAACGGAGGAGGAGGCGGGGCCAUCAAGGCCAAGCGGGAGGCCGCGCUUCGUUGGCCGUCGAGCGAAUCGACGCCCCCGACGCCCCGACGGAAGGCACGCCGGACGUCAACCUCGCGUUCAAGACGAAGGCAAGCGCCGUCCCCCCGCGACACGCUGACCCCGAGCAAGAAGACGGUGCCGGCGCGCUCGCGGAAAGCCUGCAGGACGUCGCCCUCGUACCUGAGAUGACGGUGCAACCAGUCCCCGAUGCGACUACGUCGCUCCUCGUCGACCAAAAGGUACCGACUAACUCCCAUCUUACGUCAUUUCGACUCGGCCUCAACCCGCCAAACGACCUCGCUUUGGCGGGCGCUCUCAUUGAGGCGAGUGCAACCCCACUGGGGUUUCGUAUACGAUCGCCUUGGGACCGGCUGACGGACGUCUCGACCUACGGGCCCUCUGGGUCCGAGGAAGACGACGACCCCAGCGUCUGUUGGGAUUUCUCCGAACUUGGCAACCCCAGUGCCAUGCGGGACUUCAUGACCGCAUGUGACUACUGCCUAUCCGACUGUUCCGACGGAAGCCGCAGCCUUGGCGACGAGAGCUGCGGCCCAAGCCGCGAAUGUUUCCACAUCGAGCUAGGGGAUCCCUCCGAAGGCAACCAUCUCGGCAUGCCGGAGGACGGUGAUCUUCCUAGGCCGGUGCCUCGCGCCGACAUCCCACGGGAGCUAGCUGUGGUCCCCGCUCCAGCGGGAGGUUACGACCCACAACUCGAGCAAGUCCGCGAGGCGCAGGCCAGGCUCAACGAGGGAACAGGAGCGCUUGAGCCGAUCCGUCGGGACGUCGGGCAGGUAUGGGCGGACCAACCCCUGGCCGGAGAAAUACGUCACCUGCCCCAAGGCCUCCAGCACCGUGUCGCCAACGAUGUCAGGGUCAGGCCGCCGCCCGCAUCCAGCGGGGUUGGUCAGAACCUGGCAGCCGCAGCGAUGCUCCUCCGCGCGAUGCCGGAGCCAUCAACCACCGAGGGUCGGCGAAUCCAGGGAGAGCUCAAGAAUCUCCUGGAAGGCGCUGCGGCCCGACGGGCCGAGAGCACUGCCUCCCGAAGGCAAGGAUAUCCCUCAGAACCUCAUGUCGCGACUUCCCGAUUCAUGCGGGAAGCCUCGGUCUACACCGGGCGCACGCGCAACACCGCGCCUGCGGCCCCGGACCACCUCGGCAACGAGCACCAUCGACGCGACCGUCGGGCCCACCUCGACGAAAGGGUGCGCCGAGGCUACCACCCCAGGCGUGGGGGGCGCUACGACAGCGGGGAGGAUCGGAGUCCCUCGCCCGAACCACCCGGUCCGCAGGCCUUCAGUCGGGCCAUCCGACGGGCGCCAUUCCCGACCCGGUUCCGACCCCCGACUACUAUCACGAAGUACUCGGGGGAAACGAGACCGGAACUGUGGCUCGCGGACUACCGCCUUGCCUGCCAACUGGGUGGGACGGACGACGACAACCUCAUCAUCCGCAACCUCCCCCUGUUCCUCUUCGACACUGCUCGCGCCUGGUUGGAGCACCUGCCUCCGGGGCAGAUCUCCAACUGGGACGACUUGGUCCAAGCCUUCGCUGGGAAUUUCCAGGGCACAUACGUGCGCCCCGGGAAUUCCUGGGACCUUCGAAGCUGCCGGCAACAGCCGGGGGAGUCGCUCCGGGACUACAUCCGGCGAUUCUCGAAGCAGCGCACCGAGCUGCCCAACAUCAUCGACUCGGAUGUCAUCGGCGCGUUCCUCGCCGGCACCACUUGCCGCGACCUGGUGAGCAAGCUGGGUCGCAAGACCCCCACCAGGGCGAGCGAGCUGAUGGACAUCGCCACCAAGUUCGCCUCUGGCCAGGAGGCGGUCGAGGCUAUCUUCCAAAAGGACAAGCAGCCCCAGGGCCGCCCAUCGGAAGAGGCUCCCGAGGCGUCUGCUCCACGCGGCGCCAGGAAGAAAGGCAAGAAGAAGUCGCAAUCAAAACGCGACGCCGCUGACGCGGACCUUGUCGCCGCCGCCGAGUACAAGAACCCUCGGAAGCCCCCUGGAGGUGCGAACCUCUUCGACAAGAUGCUCAAGGAGCCAUGCCCCUACCAUCAGGGGCCCGUCAAGCACGCCCUCGAGGAGUGCAUUAUGCUUCGGCGUCACUUCCACAGGGUCGGGCCACCCGCCGAGGGUGGCAGGGCCCGCGACGACGACAAGAACGAAGAUCACCAAGCAGGAGAGUUCCCCGCGGUCCGCGACUGCUUCAUGAUCUAUGGAGGGCAUGCGGCGAAUGCCUCGGCUCGGCAUCGCAAGCAAGAGCGCCGGGAGGUCUGCUCGGUGAAGGUGGCGGCGCCAGUCUACCUAGACUGGUCCGACAAGCCCAUCACCUUCGACCAGGCCGACCACCCCGACCAUGUGCCGAGCCCGGGGAAAUACCCGCUCGUCGUCGACCCCGUUGUCGGCAAUGUCAGGCUCACCAAGGUCCUGAUGGAUGGGGGAAGCUGCCUCAACAUCAUCUACGCCGAGACCCUCAAGCUCCUGCGCAUCGAUCUGUCCUCCGUCCGAGCAGGCGCUGCGCCCUUCCACGGGAUCAUCCCUGGGAAGCGCGUCCAGCCCCUCGGGCGACUCGACCUCCCCGUCUGCUUCGGGACGCCCUCCAACUUCCGAAGGGAGACCCUGACGUUCGAGGUGGUCGGGUUCCGAGGAACCUACCACGCCGUACUAGGGAGGCCAUGUUACGCGAAGUUCAUGGCCGUCCCCAACUACACCUACCUGAAGCUCAAGAUGCCGGGCCCCAACGGGGUCAUCACCGUUGGCCCCACGUACAAACACGCGUUCGAAUGCGACGUGGAGUGCGUGGAGUACGCCGAGGCCCUCGCCGAGUCCGAGGCCCUCAUCGCCGACCUGGAGAACCUCUCCAAGGAGGUGCCAGACGUGAAGCGCCAUGCCGGCAACUUCGAGCCAGCAUAAACGGUUAAGGCCGUCCCUCUUGACCCCAGUGGCGACACCACCAAGCAGGUCCGGAUCGGUUCCGGGCUCGACCCCAAAUAGGAAGCAGUGCUCGUCGACUUUCUCCGCGCAAACACCGACGUCUUUGCGUGGAGUCCCUCGAACAUGCCCGGCAUACCGAGGGAUGUCGCCGAGCACUCGCUGGAUAUUCGGGCCGGAGCCCGACCCGUCAGGCAGUCUCUGCGCCGAUUCGACGAGGAGAAGCGCAGAGUGAUUGGCAAAGAGAUCCACAAGCUAAUGGCAGCAGGGUUCAUCAAAGAGGUAUUCCAUCCCGAAUGGCUCGCCAACCCUGUGCUUGUGAGGAAGAAAGGGGGGAAAUGGCGGAUGUGUGUAGACUACACUGGUCUCAACAAAGCAUGUCCGAAGGUUCCCUACCCUCUGCCCCGCAUCGAUCAAAUCGUGGAUUCCACCGCUGGGUGCGAAACCCUGUCCUUCCUUGAUGCCUACUCAGGGUAUCACCAGAUCCGGAUGAAAGAGUCCGACCAGCUCGCGACUUCUUUCAUCACGCCGUUCGGCAUGUACUGCUAUGUCACCAUGCCGUUCGGUUUGAGGAAUGCGGGCGCGACGUACCAGCGGUGCAUGAACCAUGUGUUCAGCGAACACAUCGGUCGCACAGUCGAGGCCUACGUCGAUGACAUCGUAGUCAAGGCAAGGAAGGCUUCCGACCUCCUCUCCGACCUUGAAGUGACAUUCCGAUGUCUCAAGGCGAAAGGAGUCAAGCUCAAUCCUGAGAAGUGUGUCUUCGGGGUGCCCCGAGGCAUGCUCCUAGGGUUCAUCGUCUCCGAGCGAGGCAUUGAAGCCAACCCGGAGAAGAUCGCGGCCAUCACCAGCAUGGGGCCCAUCAAGGACUUAAAAGGUGUACAGAGGGUCAUGGGAUGCCUCGCGGCCCUGAGCCGCUUCGUCUCACGCCUCGACGAAAGAGGUCUGCCUCUGUACCGCCUCUUAAGGAAGGCCGAGUGUUUCGCUUGGACCCUUGAGGCCGAGGAAGCCCUCGGCAACCUGAAGGCGCUCCUUACGAAGGCGCCUGUCUUGGUGCCCCCGGCGGAUGGAGAAGCCCUCUUGGUCUACGUCGCCGCAACCACUUAGGUGGUUAGCGCCGCGAUUGUGGUCGAGAGGCAAGAGGAAGGGCAUGCAUUGCCCGUUCAGAGGCCGGUCUACUUCGUCAGCGAAGUGCUGUCCGAGACCAAGAUACGCUACCCACAAGUUCAAAAGCUGCUAUAUGCUGUGAUCCUGACAAGGCGGAAGCUGCGACACUACUUCGAGUCUCAUCCGGUAACUGUGGUGUCAUCCUUCCCCUGGGGGAGAUCAUCCAGUGCCGAGAGGCCUCGGGCAGGAUCGCAAAGUGGGCGGUGGAAAUCAUGGGCAAAACGAUCUCGUUCGCCCCUCAGAAGGCCAUCAAGUCCCAGGUGUUGGCGGACUUCGUGGCCGAAUGGGUUGACACCCAGUUGCCGACGGCUCCGAUCCAACCGGAGCUCUGGACCAUGUUUUUCGACGGGUCGCUGAUGAAGACAGGAGCCGGCGCGGGCCUGCUCUUCAUCUCGCCCCUUGGAAAGCACCUGCGUUACGUGCUGCGCCUCCAUUUCCCGGCGUCCAACAAUGUGGCCGAGUACGAAGCUCUGGUCAACGGGUUGCGGAUCGCCAUCGAGCUAGGGGUCAGACGCCUCGACGCCCGUGGUGAUUCGCAGCUCGUCAUCGACCAAGUCAUGAAGAACUCCCACUGUCGUGACCCGAAGAUGGAGGCCUACUGCGACGAGGUUCGGCGCCUGGAAGACAAGUUCUUCGGGCUCGAGCUCAACCACAUCGCUCGGCGCUACAACGAAACCGCAGACGAGCUGGCUAAAAUAGCCUCGGGGCGAGCGACGGUCCCCCCGGACGUCUUCUCCCGGGAUCUGCAUCGACCCUCUGUCAAGAUCGACGACGUGCCCGAGCCCGAGGCACCCUCGGCUCAAGCCGAGGCGCCCUCAGCUCGGCCCGAGGCACCCUCGGCUCAGCCCGAGGUACCCUCGGCCCCCGAGGGCGAGGCACUGGACGUCGAGGAAGAGCAGAGCGGGGCCACGCCUGAUCGAGAUUGGCAGGCCCCGUACCUGCAAUAUCUCCGUCGAGGAGAGCUACCCCCCGACCAAGUCGAGGCUCGGCGGGUAGCGCGACGCGCCAAGUCGUUCGUCUUGCUGGGCGAUGAAGGGGAGCUCUACCAUCGCAGCCCCUCGGGCAUCCUCCAGCGAUGCAUCUCCAUCGCCGAAGGUCGGGAACUGCUGCAAGAAAUGCACUCGGGGGCUUGUGGCCACCACGCAGCGCCCCGAGCCCUUGUCGGGAAUGCUUUCCGGCAAGGCUUCUACUGGCCAACGGCGGUGGCUGACGCCACUAGAAUUGUCCGCACCUGCGAAGGGUGCCAAUUCUAUGCGAAGCAGACCCACCUGCCCGCUCAGGCUCUGCAGACGAUACCCAUCACCUGGCCCUUCGCCGUAUGGGGUCUGGACCUCGUCGGUCCCUUGCAGAAGGCGCCCGGGGGCUACACGCACCUGCUGGUCGCCAUCGACAAAUUCUCCAAGUGGAUCGAGGUCCGACCUCUGAACAGCAUCAGGUCCGAGCAGGCGGUGGCGUUCUUCACCAACAUCAUCCAUCGCUUCGGGGUCCCGAACUCCAUCAUCACCGACAACGGCACCCAGUUCACCGGCAAAAAAUUCUUGGAUUUUUGCGAGGAUCACCAUAUCCAGGUGGACUGGGCCGCCGUGGCUCAUCCCAUGUCGAAUGGGCAAGUAGAGCGCGCCAACGGCAUGAUUCUACAAGGGCUCAAGCCUCGGAUCUACAACGACCUCAACAAGUUCGGCAAGCGGUGGAUGAAGGAACUCCCCUCGGUGGUCUGGAGCCUAAGGACGACGCCGAGUCGCGCCACGGGUUUCACGCCGUUUUUCCUGGUCUACGGGGCUGAAGCUAUCUUGCCCACUGACCUGGAAUACGGCUCCCCGAGGACGAGGGCCUACACCGAUCAAAGCAACCAAGCUAGCCGAGAAGAAUCGCUGGACCAGCUGGAGGAGGCUCGGGACAGGGCCUUACUACACUCGGCGCGUUACCAGCAGUCCCUGCGACGCUACCACGCCCGAGGGGUCCGGUCCCGAGACCUCCAGGUGGGCGAUCUGGUGCUUCGGCUGCGGCAAGACGCUCGAGGGAGGCACAAGCUCACGCCCCCCUGGGAAGGGCCAUUCGUCAUCGCCAAAGUUCUGAAGCCCGGAACAUACAAGCUGGCCAACAAUCAAGGCGAGAUCUACGGCAACACCUGGAACAUCAAACAGCUACGUCGCUUCUACCCUUAAGAUGUUUCCAAGUUGUUCAUAUACCUCGCACCUACGCAAAGUUUAGUCGUCAAGGAAGGAUCGGCCUAGCCCCGGCAAAGCCCGACGCUCCCUCGGGGGCUAAAAGGGGAGAGACCCCCUCUGCGUCAAUUUUUCCUCGAAAAAGGAUCUCUUUCUAGCAGGAUUACUCUCGUGCUUCUUGACUACUUCGGAAAGCGGAUCCUGGAAACGACGGAGUACACGUAAGCAGCCAAGGCUGACCGAGCCGAGGGACUCCUACGCCUUCGGGAUACGGAUACCUCACUCAUCACCUUCUGCGAUAAGUAACUCACGCUCAGAUAAAGCGACUCCGUGGACCGAACAAGUCUUCACGCUCAGAAGCUCUCCUGCCGAAGCAGUCCUUCAAGCUUUCUCGACUAAGUCGGGGACAGGGCCUCAUGGACGGGUGAAAGUACGCGUAAGCGGCAAGGCCGACCGAGCCGAGGGAUUCCCACGCCUCUGGGAUACGGAUACCUCACUCGUCCCUUCCGCGAGAAGUAACUCUCGCUCACACAAACAUCCCUGUUACCGACAGAGUCCAGAUGCUCGAAACAAGAGGAAAAAAGACGCAGCUUCGCAAGCACGGCGAGGGUGUGUUUUCUGGCCUCGGCGGCCGCAGAAGGCACACGCUACAAGACGAUCUGAUCCUGCAGGCUCGGGUCUUCACGCUGAAGGGAGCCGUAGCACCCUCGGCAUCGACGACGUCUUCAGCUAUGUCCGACCCAGCCUCGGACGGCGGCGCGGUCCAGGGACCCCUCCGGGAAUCCGGCCCGAGCAGGCGGCUCGGCCGGUUACCCCUAGGGCCUCGGCCAACCGGCUUCCAAGGGUGCCAGCCCGACCCGAGGCCUCGGCGGAUCGACUUUGGCGUCGGCUCCGCUGACGGACAACACGACUAGGCUCCGGCCAACCAGGUUCCCAUUCUCGAGCCAACUCCGCCUCUGUUUAUACUGAUAUCGCUACCCCUGGCCUCGGCUCAUCGAAGGGCGGCCGAGGGGUCUCUUUAACUAAGCUAGAGGAGCCCCAGACAACAAGGCCGAUCGGGCCGAGGGAUUCCCACGCCUCUGGGAUACGGAUACCUCAUUCGUCACCUUGACACGGGGCGACUCAUGCUUGGUAAAGCGGUUCAGAUAACCAACAGGCGAGACUUAGUGCUCGAAAAUGAGGAAAAAACACGGCUCCGUGCCGAAAUUACAUACAUGUUCAGGCCCCGACAGCCGCAAUGAACAAAAAACACACUGGCAUUCAAAGUGCCAUCACAAACGGAACUCCGGUUCCGUCCCCGUGGGUACGAGCGACCUCGGGCCUGCGGGGCGGCGAACGCCGGGAGGCUCGCCAGCGACCUCUGCAGCAGCAGCCAUGGCCCCGGGUGAACGCGGCCACCGGAAGGCUCUUGUUCGUGGUCCCGCUCAAGGGACACGAACAAGCCAUCAAAGCCAAAGAGCGGGCCGCUCCCAAGCGCUCCGGUAGAUCCUCGCUGCCGUCCUCGCCGCGAAUGCGAGGAGGAAGACGGAAUGUUGCAUCCUAGCUGGACAGCAACAGUUCGCCUUCCCCGGCAUGACUGGAGGACGACUCCGUCGUAGCGCGGGAGGGCGAUUGCCACCACCAGAAGCUGGAAGAGGAGGUGGUUCGCCGACCCGCACAUGAGGUAGAGUCCCGGCUCGCCUCGACCCCCGCCCCAGCGAGGAUGACGAACACACCCGAUGCUGAGGGCGGGAUCACAGCCUGGUUUACCUCUCCCCAUCCAGGAGCUGGAGGUCACCGUCUUGGGUGACCACCGGCGGGAGAAAGCAACCAGGCUGCGUGAUGAAAAUCCUUGAAGCCGAACGAUGGCUGAGAGGUACCAACUCCCAUGGAGUUGCGUUCCUCCAACGAGGAGGCAGAAAAGCGGCGGGUACCCCCCAUCCGGGGGCUUGGAAGAUGGAAAGACACGACGCAUAAGGGAGGAAGAAGGCAUGGUUGCCUUCUGAAAGGAGUCUCCCUCCU
rnacentral:lncRNA from 1 species